AAAUAUUAUAAUUUAAAAAAAAGUCUUGUUGUCCGUUAUUCACGAUAUGAGGUUCUACAAAAUUAUUUCUCCAAACGGGUGUCCUUUUCUUUUUUUCAAAAGGAAAAACAAGUUCAGGGCCUCAGGGGUUUCAAAAAAUUCUGGUCCUAUAUACCACUAUGACUAAUGGGAAACGACAUUGCAAUUGACAUUGCUUUCCACAAUAUGAUAGAUUAUUGGAGGGAUAUGAGAGAAUUGUCAAACGUUCACACACGCGAGAGCUUUAGGUGGGAUAGGGGAGGAUUGUCAAGAGUUCACACCACGAUAAACUAAUGAUAGGCCUAAUUUUGUUGUCAGUUCUUUAUUUAUUUAUUUUAUGUAUAUCAUACAUUAUUGUAUUUUGUCAAGGUAUAAUAGUACAAGUAAAAUACUAGGGGUGCUGUUAAGUUACAACUUAUGUAACUUGCAAUUUUUUCAAAAAUUAUGUAAAAAAUUUAAUAGGUGGUGGAACCCACAUAUUUUUUAAGAGACUUAAGUUACAGCAGUUGUAACUUAACAAAAUCUAAAUAUUAGACAAUAAUGCAUAUAAUUUGGGUUUGAUUUUUAAAAGAUUAUUUGAGUACCACCUAUCCUUAUGAUAUUAAUGUGAUUAUAUCUUAAUAUUAAAUAAUCAAAAUUUGUUUAAUUAUUAUUUGUAUUUCAUACAUUACAUAUUAGAUUUGUUUGAAUUUUAAGUUGUUGCUAAUAAAUAUUUAUGUUGUCAAAGUCAAAGUCAAUAGCUACAAAAGUAGAGAUAAUGGUAUUGUAUAUAGUUUUUAAGAAUGCAAGGAUAAGCUGGAUAAUUGACAUAAAUUCUAAUGAUUAAAAGAGCAACUAUCCCUUAAGUUAUAAUGUCAAUUUCUUUAAUUAGAAUUUUUUUUUCAUGUGAUAUAACCUUAAUUGCUACAAUUUUUUUUAUAAUAAUAAUGGGAGUUAUAAAUUAUUUAUAUAAAAUUUGGGUUGAAACUAAUGUAACCUAAAAGUGGUUGCUGAAUAACAAUAUUUGAAACUUUAGGUAAUUUUCAUGAGUCCUUUUUAUAUUCAACAACUUGAAUUGGGGGAAAUCCGACUUGAAUUGGCGGUUGAUUUUGGUGAUGUGGCUUUCGGUUUACGCCGGCUUUACAGUGGCGGAAGACUGGAUUUACGGUUGCCGACUGCUAGGGAUUAUGGUGGUAGUGUAAAUUGACGGAAAAAGAAGGUGUUUUGGUGGCGGCGCGUCUAGGAAGCACUCGUGGGUUGUUGUUUCGUGUGGUGACAGCGGGCGGCGAUCAAGGGCUGAAGUUGGUCGGUUUUUGGUCAGCAGAGGCCGGCGAGUUUGUUGGUGGAGGUGGCUGGUGGAGAAAGUGGCUGAAUGGUGGUGGGUUGCUUGGUGGAGCCGCGGGUUUGGGUUGGUGAUUUGCGGCUGUUCAAGCGGUGGUUGAGGCAGCGAUGACUAAGGCUUGGUCGACGGUGGCUAGGGAGGUUUGUGGUGGUGUUGGCUGGCUGAUCGGCGGUGGUGGACGGCGGUGGAGGUUGAUGUGACAGGUAGGGUUUUCAAAUUUGUAAAUUUUUUUUUUGAUGGAUUUGGUUUGGAUAGGUAUGGUGUAUCUAGGAAAGAUGUGCGAUUCGCACAUAAUCAUUUUGAUACCAAUUGAUGGAGCGAGGCGUAGCGGAAGCAGAAUUGAUAGGGUAAGAAACAUUAGAUAUCGUUCUAGUACUAGACCAAGCCAACACGAUUAGUUUACGCUCUAAUUGAAGCGUGAUUAGAUAUCGUUAUAAUCCAAAUGACUCAGUGAGAUUUUUAAUAACGCGUAAUACGAGAUUAGAUGACACUCUAAUCCAAAUGACUCUACAAAAGAGAUUUUGAUAACUAAUCCUAGAGGAAAUUAUAAAAGAGGGGGUUUAUUUAAUAAUUGAACUUGAAGUUAUGAAAAUAAUGACAAGACAUCUUUAUUUUUUUUAUUACAGGCAUCUUUAUUUAUAAUAGAAGAAACCCGCUUUCCUAAGUUAACCUAAAAAGAAAAUUUAAAUCAUAAUUAUAAUGGAAAUAAAAGAUUAAGAUACAUACCAUAAUUAACUCAAACUAAAAUAGAAAAUCAUAAAAUAAUAAAUAUUCUAGAAUUAUAAAUUAUCUAAAAUAACGUUAAUUAACUUCCUAAAUCACUUCUUUGGUGUAAACCAUUUUGCAUCCAUCCUCGCUUUAAAGGUUUGAACCAACGUUACCAACAAUAAUGUAUCAAAGUCCAAUCUAACUUAAGAUCUUGAUACAUCUACCGAUGUCCUUGUUUGAUUAGACAAUAAUGAGUCUAUCUCAUCACUUGUUACCUCUUUCUUGAAGGCUGCAUCUGUUGAAGUGAUAGUCUCGCUUAGAGUUUAAAGAUCUUCUUCCAUGUUAAAUAAAAUGGGCAUUUGAUUAAAAAACUUUAUCUCUAUCUCCUUCUAUCAAAUAACGACAACUAUCCGAAGGAAAAAAAAAAUAGAAAAGUCCAUGGGUCACAAUAAUUUAUGGUCUGUCCCCGGACCCCAUUAUCUGCCACUAUCAAUGAUGAAAAUGAAAAUAAAUGGCAUCUUCCCAAAAUGGCGAAAGAUUUUUGGGGGAUAUGGGGGAAUUGUCAAAAGUUCACACAACGCGAAACAAGUGUUACAUCCAAUUUUAUUUCGUCAUAUAAUGAUAAUAUCAAAUAAUGACAACCAUCCAAAAGUAUGAUGGGUCUUCCAAAAUUUUGAAAAUGUCGUCAACAUUUAAUCUUCAAUGCUAAAGAAGAUGAAAUGACCAAAAAUGACACGCAUGACUCACUCACAGACUAAAUGGCUCUGACCACAUGUAACAAACUUUGAUCUUAUGUCCUUACUGAGGCGUUAGACUGUUGGUCAUUUUGAUUGCUUUUUACCUUCCAUUUAUGCCAUUGUAGCAUUAUACUAUUCACCAUUUUAGCUGUUUAAAUGAAAUUGUUAUUUUUUUUCCAAAAAUAAAAUGGCACCCUUAAAAUUUUAGAAAAUAGCCAUGUAGACCCCAAAAUUUUAAUAAAGAACACUAAUAUCCUUUUUUACUAUAGUACUCUUAGUAGAUGGUAACAAAAAAAAAAAUGACUGUAAAAGUUUUUACUAAAUGUAAAUAUGAUUUAAAUAUUUUAAUUUUUCUAGUAGACUAGUAUGUAUAAUUUAAAUAAUUAAUUUUUAAAAUGUAAUUUAAUAUAUUUAUUUUAAUAAUAUAUUUAUUAUAAAAAUUUUAAACAAAUCCUUGGGUUAAAUAGAUUUUAUAAUUAAUAUAAUAUUUCUCAUGUUUUAAUAAUAUUAAAAUUAUUUGAUAUGAUAUUGAAAAUAAUUAAAACUUUUAUAUAUUUAUUUGAAUAUUAUGUCUCUAUUUAUUAUAAUUUGGUUUAAUAGAAUCAAAUGAAAGUGUACAUGUACAAGAAGAAAGAACCAUACACCAAGUAAAACGUAAAAAGGAUUAAAUAAAUGACACCAAUCCCCGGCAACGGCGCCAAAAUUUGAUGGUUGUCGAAGCCAACAAAAAUAAAUUCCUACUCUAAAUAAAUUGUGUAUAGUGAUUGAGCAGGGUCGUGUCCACAGAGAUCGGUAAUUAUUUAAAUCCUUUUAAAACGUAAAACAUAAAAUGGGGGUUUUGUUGACAAUAAUAAAAAUCAAAUUAAAAUAACAAGAAUGCAAAUUAAAGUUGUAAUUCAAAUUAGAGAAAGCUCUGGUUGAAGGAAUUAACUCAGCUUGAUUCGACUACUGAUCAUUGAUUCAAAUAUAGAUUAUUAUUACUUAUUAAUAGACCGGUUAUAGCUAUUGAGACCCUCUAAUAGCCAAUUUGUCCUUAACUAGUCGAUAACCAAGGUACGACCGUCAGAUAUUUCCCUAAUCAACAGACAACCCUAGAUACGAUCAUAGGAUUUAAUCAAUUGACAGCCUGAAAAACCAGAGAGACCCAAAUCCUAAUCAACACAUAUGAUGAUUCAUUUAAAUUAGAUUGUUUAUUCUCAUAACACAACUCACUGCUAUGUUAUUUGUCACAAACAUUAAAAUCUUCAUACGAUGAAUCCUUUAAUUGACAAUAGAUUAAGUUGAUAAUUAAAUAGUGGCCAAUUACCUAAUUAACAAACAUAAUCAUGAAACUAAUUCAGAGAAUAAACAAAUACCCAAAAAGUAAUAAAACAAUUAAAGCAUAAGAAAGAUCUCACAGUAGUGAUGAAUCAAAGCUUCAUUAACCUUCAACCAGAAAAAUAAGUUUAGUUCUUCAUAGAGAGAAGAGAAAAAUUAGAUCUAGGGUUUUUUUCUUUUUCUCUCAUCCCCCUUUUUCACUAUAGAUUCCUCCCUUAAAUACUCUCUCUCUCUUCUCUUUUAGAGUUCUAAUUAAAAUAAAAUACUAAUAUCUGAAAUAUUAAAUUCGUAAUUACAAAAAUAACCAAAAAUACAAAACAUGUUAAACUAAAAACUACAGGUCCGCAGUUGACAGCACGCGCCCACGCCUUAUCAAGAAAGUUCUUCUGACUCUCUAAAUUUCUCCAAGAGAACAAUCAUCUUUAAACAUCAUCUUAUAACUCAAUUUUAUCACAAAUCAAUAGAAUUGCACCUACAAAAGUACAACACAAGUAAAUCAUUAUUAUUAAGUGCAAAACAUCGAUAUUAAGGGAAGUAGACAAUGCAAAACUAGUGCAUAAAUUGCACUCUAACAAGUUCACACCACGAGAAAUUAAUGAUAGGCCUAAUUUCGUUGUCAGUUCUUUAUUUGUUUAUUUUAUUGAUUUCAUACAUUAUUGUCUUGUUGGUACUAUUUUGUAAAGAUAUAAAAGUACAAGUAAAAUAUUAGGGGAAGUAAAAUAAAAUAUUGGAGGUGCUGCUAAGUUACAGCUGCUGUAACUUACAGUUCCUUCAAAAAUAAUGUAAAAAAUUUAACAUGUGGUGGGACCCACAUUAUGUUUGAAGAGGCCGUAAGUUAUAGCAGUUGUAAAUUAGUAAAAUCCAAAUAUUAGAUAACAAUACACAUUAACAAUGCAUAUAAUUUGGGUUUGAUUUUUAAAAAAAUUAUGUGAGUAUUACCUAUCCUUAAGAUAUUAAUGAGAAUAUAUUUUAAUAUUAAAUAAUCAAAAUCUGUUUAAUCAUAAUAUGUAAUUCAUACAUUGCAUGUUAGAUUUGUUUGGAUUUUAAGUUGUUGCUAAUAAAUAUUUAUGUUGUGAAAGUCGAAUUCAAUAGCUACAAAAGCAGAGAUAAUGGUAUUUUAUGUAGUUUUUAAGAAUACAAGGAUAAGACCAUAACGCAUGAGAUAAUGGUAUUUUAUAUUAAAAGACCAUAACACAUGUAUUUGAGCCAUUUAUAUUGAGGACACAUAUAGAGCGAAGAGUGCAGAUCCGGCCGUAACUAUUGUGAAGCUUUCCUCAAGUAUUCUCAUGCACGCAGACCUUAGCUGGUCAAGUUUUCUGAUUCAAUAUAAUCAAUUUCCGCGCAGUACUAACGACAGCUUCUUUGUAAAGCUCUUCAACCACAAGCAUUUCUACAAGGCAAAAGACUAGGACGUGUCAGAAUGAAUAUCAAUAAGGGAAUGUCUUAUGAAUUUAGUUUAUAUCCUAAUAUAAGACAAUCAAUAAAUAUUAGAUGCAAUCUAAGGGAAUGUCUUAUGAAUCCUGAUUGAUGGCCUCUCACAGUCAGUUAUAUGACAAAGUAGCCACCACAACAAACUUGAACUUGGCUGGAGGUCUCAUUAGCAGUAUACCUCAGAAAUUAAGACAAAGACUUUAAAAUGCAAACUUAUGGAGCAAUUUAAGCACUGAAACUAAUAACAGUACUGUAUUAGCAAUUGACCUCUGCUUUUUUCUUGGACAAAGGUUCUCAUCACAAGGGACUCAUUAGUUGCCCUUGCCUCAAACGUUUGGAUGCUAAGGGGAAAAAGGAAGUUUGAAUUAGUCAAUCUCAUUUCUAAUGGCAUUCACAGAGAACCUAUAAAACAAAAAAAUUAUAAAAAAAAAAAUCAUCCAUAAUUCGCCAAACCGAAAAGAAAAACAGGGGAAUGAAAAGAGAGCCCACGGGAAUGAAGAGAUCAGCUCUUGUCGCGAAAAUGCAGUCGACUGUAACUAUAUCCGGGUCCCUAGUACUUAGAAGUAAAUGCUCUUGGAAUUUCUAUUAUAGAUUGAUGUUUCCCGUUCAAAUAGCUCUUCCGAUACCAUUAACAUGUUCAUCUCUCUAUAGAUUGAUGUUGACAUAGAUGUUAUUCUACUUUUGCUAGUGGAGUUUUCCUUGUACAGGUAUGUAUGAUUGUUUUUUUUGCACUUCUAAAUGGACACUGUUGAAAAGCUUAAAAUUGAACUGAUAAUUUUGUUUGGAAGCUCAGAAAAUUCAUGAGAAAGUGAAAUAGAAUAUUCUGGAUUUCUUUUCUUUCCAUAAUAUACAAAUGACAAACGUAGCAGUAUUUAUACUCGUUGCUUACAUCAUAAAAACAGAAUUAAAACAAGGUACACAACUAUAACAGAAUCAAAAGCGUGCUUAACUAAUUGGCAGAGCUGGCAUAUACUUCUUUAACUAACAAUGCUGCUGACUGGACUUUAGCUCACACAUGCUUAUCGUGCAGCUACUCUUAGUUCACACGUGCUCAGUCUGCUGUUGGCCCAAAGUUGGAACCAGAGAUAUCAUGACUCUGGUUUCAUUUCACCUCAACUGUGUUUUUUUUUUUAAAUUAAAAAAAUCAUUUGUUUUAGGUAUACAUACAUGUAUUUUGAUUCUAUUUUCAUUGUAAUUUCUCAUUUACUUUGAAUGAAAGUCAUUGGUGUUUUCGAAUGGGAAUUUUGCAUUAAAAAAUGAAGAAUAGUGAUUUUUGGAGUGUAAUUAGUAGUAAAGUUGGUUUUUACUCGCAAACAAGUGAACUGCUCGAUUCCCGAGUGGUAUCAACCAGUUUCCAACUUUUUAAUAUACACUAAUUGUUAUUGUUUAAUAGCUACUACUAUUAAAACUCGACAUCUAACAAAAAUACUUAAAAAAAAUGAUUUUUCUUAUGAUGCUGUAAAAAAAAAUUACGGGUUUACUUCUUUCCAUGAGAUCUAUAACAUGGUCUUGACUUCACGAAAUUCUUUUAAUUUAAAGCUUGCUGGUGUGAGAAGGUCAGUUUGACUGAUUAAUUCUUUUUAACAGUGGUCGAGAUAAUUUUACUAUCUAAUCGAAUGUUAUGCUGUUUUCUUUUUCUAAUCUGGUGUGAGAUAAUUAAUUCUUUUUCACAAAUGCUAUGCUGUUUUCUUAGGCUAAGGAUCUUCUAUCAGGAGAGGUUAGAAAUUCAAUGCUUAAAAGAGAAUAAUACAGAAAUUUAGGCAGAAUCUAAUCGAAUAUUGCAUGAAACAUGAAAAAUCAAUUCAAGUCCUUUCUUUAAACGGAGAAUGCAUCAAACAAAAUCCAAAGUGUCUUGCACGUCUGUAGCAUGAGCAAAAAAUUGUAAAUAUGUAGAACCAAAUUAUUCAAGUACAGAAGAACGAGCAAGCUAAAUCAUGUAUAAGAGAUUGGCCUGGUUCGGGAUAGCUUCUUCACUGUACCUGAAGGAUUGGCUCAAUCUCUUCUUUAGAAUUCUGCAGAUUUUGUAAUUACUCGUGUAAGCAAGCAUACAUUGCCACCAUAAGAAUAAUAAAGCUAGAGUAAUGAUAUGACCACCACCUCUUGUGCACAAACAAUAUUGUAUAAACUAAUGCGACAUAAUAUGAUUGGUUAAACAAAAACAUUACAUGGCCCUCAUAAUUUAUUUAUUUAUUUAUUUAUUUAUUAUUAUAUUUUUUCAGUAAACCAAUCAUAUUAUAUCACAUUAGUUUCUAUAAAAUAAUUUGCUAAAUAGCACCAAAACUUAAUUGAUACUCACCAUUUCAUUGAACAAUUUUUUUAUGGUGUCAUUGAGAUUGCCUUCCCAACAUCCUUCAUCAUCAUCAUCUUCAUCAUCAUCAUCAUCUUCUUCAUCAUCAUCUUCUUCAUCAUCAUCUUUUUCUUCUUCUGUGACGUUCACUUUGUUUAGCAUUGGUGUGUCUAAGACUCCUUGAGAGAAGAUCUUCAUUUUUGGACACUGUCUCACAACUACUGGUUUCAAGGACGGGAAUUCAAGAGCGUAAUUACCCGAACAAAAGCUUGUUAGGCUUGGCAAACAAUCAAGUCCCAAGUACUCCAAUUCCUCGAAGACAACGCAACCUUUCGCUUCUUCUCCAACCUGCAAUUGUAUGAUUUGUUCUAUCAUUUUGCAAUCAGCUAUCUUCAUUCUUUGAAGAGUCACUAGACUUUCAGAUGUUGAGAGCGUCAAUAAAUUUAUCAACCCAUGACACUUCGAUACUUCCAGAGUCGCAAGAUUUUCCAAAUGCCACGAAGCUGGUACUAAUUUCUGCAACUUACUACAUUCAAAUAUUUCUGGACUUUUCAAGUUUGCAAACACUUUGUUGGAUUUGGCAUUUUCCUUCCAGAGAUGCUGCACUUUGUGUAAUCCAGAUAGCUUUAACUUCAUCAAUUGAGGGAAUGCAACCUGAAAAUCAACAAAAUUAAGUUGUAAAUGAAAAUAUGUAUCCAAUCUCUGCAGUCUUCCCCUGCAUAUUUUAUGAACAAGAUUAAUCACGACAUUUUAUAUUUUAUUUCCAAAUUAGUAUGCUUUGCAGUAGGAUCCCAAAUAUAAGUAUCAAAUCGAUUACCCUUUGAAACACAUAAAUGAAAUCUGAUGCUAAAUCCAAUAUGAAUUAGCUAGGAAAACAGAGAUGUAACACGCAUAAUCGAUAUAGUUCAUCGCCUUAUGUCACCAGGCAUCUAAUUAAUUUAAGACAUUUUUAUAAUUCAUACUAUAAAGUUAGUUAAUAACAGAGGUUAUAUUGUUAAAUCAGAUAUAAAUUAAGACGACCUGCAAAAAGAUGAGUCAUUAAGUUUGAUUUGAUUCUAAUGAAAUUACAUCUGUGCGAACGAAAGUGAAGGCAAUAAUAAUAAUAAUAAUAAUAAUCACCUUUUCAUCGAAGAGGGGUUGUACUUGAUGAGCCAGCAAGAAGUUCUCUUCUGAUGUUAAUUUUUGAGGUUUCUUGUUAUCUGUUGUCACGUGCACUAAAGAGUUGGAUAUGAAUGUUUCCAUAUCAGGGCAAUUCUCAAUAGUUAGAUUCUCCAACUCAAGCAUUUCAAUUAUAUUCCCAGUGAAGUUGCAGAAUCUUUUGAGUUUUGGAAGGUCAAUGAGCCUUAGCUCGAAAAGCUUAGGAAACAGGGGACCUAUAUGUUCUUUGUCAGCAUUUAGCACUUCCAAAUGAAGCACCUCUUCCAGUGAAUCACAAUUCCUCACUUCCAACCAUUCCAAAUUGUUCAAGCACCGUAGCAGAUUGGCAGGAAUAGCACUCGACAUAUUCGUGCAGUCAUCCACCACCAGGUGUCUUAAAUUGUUGAAGAAGCUGACAGGCAGUGCUUGGCCAUGCGAUAUUUCUUUCAAACGUGGAAAAUGUGAGAAUUGCAAAAACUCCAUGUCACGAAAUCCAAUCUGCUCAAACCAAAACAAUUGCACUGGAUAUAUACAAUUUUUUUUUUGAAAGGCAUUAGAUAUAUAUAUAUACAUUAAACUUACAUGUUUUGUGUUUUAACUUCUAAAAAUAUAUUUAAAUGUGCAAGUGCAGGGGAGAUGCAUGAACAAUUUGGAUGAAUCGAUUAACACAUACCAUUUCUUCGUAACACUUUUGUAUAGUGGAAUUAAGCUUAUUGCCUUCCCAAUGGUGCAGUUCACCCCCUUCCUUUUCAGUCACUUGCACUUUGCAUGGCUUUGGAAUGGAUAAGAUUCCCUGAGAAAAAGUCUUCAUGUUUGGACAACGUAUCAUAGAAACUCGUUCCAAUGAUGGGAAUUCAAGAGUGUAAUUCUCCAAACAAAAGCUGGUAAGCCUUCGUAAAUCAUCAAGUAUCAAAACUUUUAAUUCGCUGAAAGCAAUACGAUUCUCCUUCGCUUCUUCUCCAACAUGUCCUACGAUUUCUUCUAAUUCUUUGCAAUCCGAUACUUUAAGAUUCACCAGACUACUAGGAAUUCCAACCUGAAAAUAAGCAAAAGUGUGCGCAUGUGUGGUGUAUUAAAAAAGUAUGUUAAUCAUACAAUUAUGCAUUUUAUAAACAUAACAAACCAUGAAAUGUCUACUAGAUAAUUUUUUGUUAAACAAAAACGGAACAAGAUAAAUAAAUAAAUAAAAUCCAGAUAAACAAAGAUAAUAAAAAUACAUUUACACUAUUUAGUAUUAGAAACGUAGAAAUAAUUUAAGGCAAUUUCUAAAUAUUUUAGACUUAUUUUGCAUCUUGAUAUCAGUUUUUAAGCAUAAAUUUGCAAAUUUCAACUAUUCCUUCUUUUUUUUUUAAAAAAAAAGGGACCAUUUUCCUUGGUCCCUUUUUUUUAUGUAUAUUUAAAAAUGGAAAAAAAAAUUUGGAAAAGACUUCCCAAUACUGUCAACGAGGGACUGCUGUAAAGUGGAUCUUUAUUAAGUACUUCCAGACUAGAGGAAAUUUCUUUACAAUCAAGGGUCAGUUGUAAAUAAUCAUGAAUUUGUGGUUAAUUAAUGGCAUAAUCAAUUCGUAACUAAACUAGAGAUAUUAAUUAAAUUUGAAGACUUUUAUUUUCUUUUUUUCUUUUUCCAAUCGAAAUGUGAAGAAUUAAGGAAAAGAGAAAUAUAUAGAUGAAUUCGUGAACCUAUAAGAUGAGUGACGAUCCUUUAAUUUUUGAAAAUCGUACUUAUUAAGAUAUGAGCAAAAACUAUUUAAUUGAAUUAUAUUAUGCUGUUGAAUCGUGUUUAAAAAAUUUAUAUUGUUGAUUCUAAUGCUGACGAACCUAAGAUACUUGAAAUAAAUAAUCAGUUUGCUGGCUGAAUAUCAUUUGUAAACAAAAAAUGGUUAAAAUAUUGUUGGAUGUAAUUUGAAAAAAAAAAGAUUCGAAAUGAAUACAGCAACCUUACCAAUGGAGGAAAAAUAUUCAUUAGGUUAUCACACCCAAUUAUCUCCAAAUUCUUCAAUUUGCUGAAAGACUCCGAAGCAAGCUGGUGGUGCCAUAUUUUUCUCAAAUUAUCCAUCAACCUAAUACGUAAUACCUCCAACCUAGUAAGUCGUACCUGGCAGUUAAAGAUUAAAUAACUAAUUAAUCAAUUAAUGGCAUAAUCAAUUGAUAACUAAAUUAGAGGCGGAUAUUAACUAAAUUUGAAGACUCAAGGAAAAGACAAAUUAAAUAUUGUGACUAAAAUUAAAUUUUUUUAUUAAAAAAAAAACCUUUUUGUCAAAGAGAGGAGGAGGUUGCAUUUCAGAAUGAAUGGUGUCUUCUGGUGAGCUCGUAGAGAUGAAUCUCGACAUACUGUUGCACCAACUAAUCUCGAGGUUUAGCAAAGAAGGGAAUUCAACAACUAAAUCUGAAUGAAUAUGUCCCGUAUUGGCAAAGCUUGUUAGUUCUGGAAGAAAAUGGAGCUUGAGGGAGUGUAGUUUAGGAAAAACCUUUAAUUCAAUCAACUUUCCUUCUUCUCUUUCUGACCACCCCGUGGUGUCGACCACCCCUUCCAUUGACUCACAAGACCGUAUUUCAAGAUGUUGGAGUUGCAAAAGACUAUUAACCAUAGAAUACGAAAACAGAUACUUCAUACGAUGACAACUGCUCACGUACAGCUUUGUUAAAUUUUGACAACAGUACAUUCCUUGAUUAUGAUCGGCCCAUAAUUUUUUCAUGUUUCUUAAGUCCCUGAGAUUCAAUUCCUCUAACCUCGGAAGAAUAACCUGCAAAGAAAACCCGUACAUUUUUGUUCCUUCAAGUACAACCGUCUAGUAUAAUAUUCUUUUGAUGAUCGAAGAUUAAUCGUGAUAAUAAAUUAAUCAAUUAAUUAUUGAACAGAAAAUUAUCACCUUUGGAGCAGUAUCAUCAUCAGCAAUGAUUUCGUUGAAUCCCAAAGAAGUUGUUGGUUUCUCCCUGUCGGGUCCUAUAAACAAACAAAAACAAUAUAUACAUAAUUAAUCUUUGUUGUUUUUUUUUUUCCAAAAUAAUUGAGGAGAAGUCCAUAAUCCCACCAAUACUUAACUUCAACACUCACCAAAAAUCAUUUCCAGAUCACCGCAAAGAGCCACUUCUACCUUUUGAAGCCGCAGUAGGUUUUUGGCCAUGGAGAAUGAGAAAAGAUGCUUCAAUUUGUGACAGGCUUCUACUUCUAUAAUCCUUAAGUUGCUGAAAGAUUGAUCUUCUGUGAGUUGGCUGUCACAUAUUGUCUCCAAAUUGUUCAAAUAGCUAAGAGACAAUGACUCCAGCAAGGGAAAGACUGUACAAUGAACCCGUCCAACUGAACCGACAAUAUGCAAAAUCUCAGAACAACUUUCUACCCAAAGAUGCUUCAAUCGUGGAAAACCUUCCCCAUCAUCUAAUUCAUGAACAACAUUCUGAACACCCUUCAGUUCGUUUAGAUGGAUCUCUUCAGCUUCCUUCAGCAACAUUUUCGUCCCAUAAUUCUCCAAAAGAGUGCUAACAUUUUCUAGCCCAUCGAGCUCCACCAUUCUUGAUGUUUUAGAAUUAACGCCUCACAUGCGCCACGCUUCUCCUAUACAUAUCUUAUAUCUUUGCAAUUCCACAGAGACCAAAUCCUGCGGUAGAAUUUCGGCAUCCCGAACGUGUAUCUCCAAGGUAGUUAGCUUUGACAACCCCUUCAAUUCAGCAAGACUGGCGUUACUUCCUCCUUCAACCUUAUCCCACUGCGAAAAGCUGUCACCCAUAUAUAGUUCUUCCAAUCGUGAAAAUUUUGAUAUGACAUUUGGUGCUAUCACUACAAGGCUCCUACAAUUGCUCAAAUCUAGCAAUUGUAACCGCGUCAAUUGACCGAUUUCAAGUGGUAACUGCUUAAUGUCGGAAUAUCGAAAGCUAAGAAUCUCUAAUUUCUUUAGCUGUCCAAUUGCCGCUACAUCUUCUUGUUGGCACCAGUCUAAACACAAUGUUUGAAGGUUAAUGAGGCGACCUAGUGACGAAAGUAAUGAAGAGAAAUGAAUUCCAGUAAAAUCUAAAACUUUGAGUUCUUCUGUCCCUUCAAAAAAGAGGUCUGAAACUUGCAUAGGGCCAUUACCCUCCGUAUACAACAAAAAUAACUGGAGAUUGGGACAUCCCAACCUUUCGGGAAGCUCUUGAAUAUCUCUAUAAGGUAAAGAAAUAGCAAUUGGACCUUUCUGUAUUGUCUCUUCCAUCUUUUUCUCCACGUCAGCAACAUUUGGAAUAUUAAACAUGCGCUUCUCUGCUGCAAUUGAUACAGCAACAACAUGAAUGACGUCAUGCAUUUUAACUUCAUCUUUGGCAUCACCGUCCAACAAUAAGCAUGAAGAUUUGAGAUUGUCGAUCAACCGAUGCACUCUACUCCUUGCUUCUUCCAAUGUGUAAACAUUUUCAAACAAACCCCAACCCACACCAUGUCUCAAUAAGUCAGAAACGGGUAUGACAUUACCUUCACUGUAUAGACCACAAAGACGGAACAGAGAUUUUGCCUCCUCACUUUCCAAGAAUUCAUAACUCAAUUUUAUGGAGGUGUACACAUUUGCUUGCAUGCCAUGAAUUUCUCUUGCAUCCGAUCUUCUUAGCUGAUUCAAUGCAUCUUGCCAAAAGUAACGCUCCUUAGUUUUCAGAGCAUUUGCAACUGUACUCAGUGCAACAGGCAAACCUCCGCAUCUUUCAACGAUCUCAUUUGCUAUACUUUGAAAAGCAGAUAUUUUAGUUGAAUCACCCACUAUCUUCUCAAAUAACUGCAAUGCUUCUUUUCGUGGCAAAGCAUCGAUCGGGAAAUUUUUCUGAGAAUUCAUAUCAAUGCUCAAUAAAUCUUGCUUUCUAGACGUCAAUAUUAUUGUGCAUCUUCUCUGAUCAUCCUUUCUAUCUUUCUCAGCAACAUCUCCAGAAGGGAUUCCAACCGCAUCCAACUCAAGUCUUGUCCAAAUAUUAUCCAAUAUAAUGAGGACCCGCUUCUCUUUCUUCAAUACUCGACGUAGUCGAUUUGCUCUGUCGAAUAUAUUCUCAUUCAACUCAAACUUUAUGCCUAAAUCUGAAGCGAGUUUGUUUUGAAUUUGCUGAUUAUCUGAUUCAUGUGUUAGCUCAGCCAUAACGACCUUAUCGAACAACUUAUCUUCCAUCACUUGCUUUCUAACUUGCCUGACUAGCGUGGUUUUACCCACGCCGCCCAUGCCGUAGACCCCAAUUAUGUUGAGCUUAUCAUCCUUCAACGCCUCCAUAACAUCCUGUAAUACUUUCUUUCUUGAAUCAAAGGCCUCGUUAUCUUUCCCGCCCCUAGGUGAUUCGCUCUCUGGAGGAGGAUCGUAGGAAACAUCACUCUUCAGUUUGUCGCCUUUUUCCAUGAGAUUAGCAGCAUCUUUUGCGGCCUUUGCUGCUCGUUUACUGAGUUUGUAACGAGACAACAAAUUUGGACACAAUCCUUUGAAGCAGGACUUCUUGGCUCCAUCUUCUUCGUCAAUGAUAGAUUUUGCAACCCCCUCCGUAGAUUCAACCCUACUUCGCCAGUCUUUGACACGCUGAUAAAUCUCUUCCCCUUGUCGGGUAGCAUGAUAAACAUGUUGUUGCACCAUUUCGUUUAUACCUCCCAACUCCUUCACUUGAUCUUUCAGCUCUUCUAUGUAGCUCUGGUACUUGAACACAUAAGAGAUCUGCCGCAUAAUCGGUUCGAACAAUGCCUUUGUGCCUUCUGAUAUAAUGCUUGAAAAAACACCUUGACAGAAUUCUACAGCCAUUGCCUGCUGCUUAACGAUAUAUAUGUAGUUUUUGGCUGUUAAAAAAAAAAAAAUUGGAUUCAAAUAAAUUAAAUGAACUAGAGGGGAAGAAAAAGAAAGAAACGACAACAAACAACUUUUUAGAGAAAGGUUUGACAGGCCUAAAUGGAAAACCAACAACUUUUUGAAGAAAGAAAACUUUGGAAGAUAGAUGCAAAUUAACCGUUGAUAAUAAUACUACAUUAAGAACACAGAAGUUAACAAUAAACAGUAACUUAAAACUCAAGAAAAUUAAAUGACGAGAUUAAGACAAACAAGGGAUAGUUUUUGUUGGACAUUAAGAAACAACUGCUAUCAAGAUCAAGGAUUAGAAAUUAUGCUAUUAAAAGAAGUUAUUAAAGGAUAGUGCUCGUGACUGCAGGAAAAUUUCUAAUGGAAACAACUCAAUUUCAGAAGAAUUUAUCCAAUUGACUCUGUACUUGAACUCGUUGGAUUGGUUGAUUUAUGAUUGACUGAAUUUCAAUUCGGCCCAAAAGAUCUUUAACCAAAGUUUAAUAGCUAUCAUCUACUCCUUAAAAGCAAAUGUGUAUCUUUUUUAGAUUUGACUGAAUUUGAUCUUGUUGGAUUGGUUUUUUUUUAGACAAAGUUGUUUUCCUACUGAUUUUUAUUCUUCAAGUAAACUUAGAUACAAAGUAAAUCUAAAAAAAUGACAAACAAACAAUGAAAUAAACGACAACAAACUGGCAAUUUUGAUACAAAGCCAACAAAUAUUAAAAUUUAGAACAUUUUGUUUUCUUGCUUUCUUUUGUUGGAGGAUUAGAGAUUUUGGUAUUACCCGAAAGGUUUCAAGGGUCUGAGUAGAAACCUAUAAUCUUUUUAAAAACUUUUUUUUAAAAAAUUUUUUUUGGGGAAAAGGAUGCAAAUUAACCAAAGGAAAUAAUAAGAGCACAGGCUUUAUCAAUGAACAAAAACUUAAAACUCAUGCAAAAUAAUUCAAUAUUAAAACAAAUCACUGAGGAAUAUUUAAGAACAACUUGAAAGAGCAAAAAGAUCACUGAGGAAUGUGUGAGAAAAGAGUUGACGAGAGAAAUAACAAUGACUUGCAGAAGAAAAACCAUUAAUAAUUAUGUGCAUUUUUAUUUUAUUUUUAUCCGCAUGCACUUUAAUGAUUAGUGCUCCUUUCAUAAAGCAGCUACCGGAAACACACAAAUAUCAUUUGAGAGAGAAACUAAACAGCAAAUCAUCAAAGUAAGAUCAAUAAUAUAUUAUUUGGUUAAUGCAUAUUCAAGAACAAAAACAAAAAUAAAUAAAUAAAUAAAGAAGGUUUGAUUUUGUAUUGCCAACGCUGCUUUUUUGUUAUUUCAUUUGUUCUUUCCACAAAUGAUGCUUGGUUAUAAUUAAGUUUCACAUGGCCAUUACUUACAAACUGUGUUUGUGUUAACAGAAACAUGAAAUUCACAUCACACAAAAUUGCACUAUCAAUUCUUAAUAGAACAUAAUAAUAAUUACUCAACGCAUAAGGGUAAAUUUAGAAUUACAUUUUCUCAAUGCAGAAGGGUAAAUUUAGAAUUACAUUUUCUGAUUCUUUUUUAUUUAAUAAAACCCCAAUGGAAAAUCAUAAAAAUUUAGAUAUAUAAAUUUUCUCCACCAAACAAGAAAAAAAAAGGGGGAAUGAAAACACAGGAUUUAUUUUACCUCUCUUUCAUCUUAACUCUUUUUCAGGCAAACCAAAACAAAAAAAUUUCAAUAAAGAGCUAGUUGUUGAAAUUGAUUUAUCUUGUUUUUCAGGCUAUCUUGUGACGUGACGAUAGAUAAUGCUCGUGAAUGCUAGAAAAUUUCUAAUGCAAACAACUCAAUUUGGGAUGAUAAGCUUAAUUUUGCAAAUGACGAAUGUAAAUAACUUGUUUUGAUUAAUUGAAUUUGUAAUACUCUUACCCUAUUCUAAAAUUUGGAGGUUGCUUGAGAAAAAAGGGUAUUUCUCACUCAUCUUCAAUCCUCAAGUAAAAUUAGGUAAAAAUCAAAUCUAAAAAAUCACAAACAAAUUAACAAAAAAAAAAAAAAAAACAACAACAUUGAUCUUGAGACAAGUGAUAUUUAAACAGAGAAUUCUUUAUUCUUUUUUACUUCCCCCUCCCCCCCCGGGGGGCUCGAGGAUUAAAGUCUUGCUAUUAACAGAGAGGUUUUAAGAGUCUGGAUAAAACCCGUGCUUUUUUAAAAAACCACUUUUUUUUUUCUUUUCUCUUUUUUUUGGGAAGAUAGAUUCAAAUUAACCAAAGCUAGUAAUAAGAGCACAUACCUUACAAAUGAACAAUAACUUACAACUCAAGCAACAUAAAUGAUAAGAUUAAAACAAACCGGAGAAAUUUUUCUUGGAAAAUAGACGGAAAUUAAAUAAGAACUGCUGUUAAAAGAAAUUAUUAGAGGAUUUAGGAGCAUGUGUACCUCUUUAAUUAUUUGGGAUCAGAGAGUUGAUGAGCUCUCUAUUCGCCUUUAAUAUUGAGUAAGAACUGGUAUUAAAAGAAAUUAUUAAGAACAAUAUUUCAGUGAGCAAAAGAUCACUGUUAACUGCAGAGGAAUUUGCGAGUAAAAAUUAAGCUGAAAAGAGCAGUAACAAUGAAUUGCAAAAGAAGGAGACUUAAUCAAGCACCCCUUUUAUACCCGAUUUUUAAGAUUUAAUUUUGAAGUUCCCAAUCAAGAACAAAGACGAAGCUUUAAUGAAGCAUGCAGUGAGAUACAAGAAAUGGAUCGGGCAAAAUACCUUACGAAGCGUUUCAUAUUUUCUAAUGAAAUAAUUAAGUUGAAGUUUUCGACGAAUAAAUACUUGUUGUGCUUGAAUAAUUUUGGCAUAUACAUUACUUGUAUCCGGCGAAAUUGAAAAGCACAUUCAUUUACAGAGCUUGUUAGUAGGGAAAAGCUUCGUAAGAUGCCUGAUAAAAGAUAAAGCAAAAGCUUGAAUGAAGAAUGACAUUUUAGAAAGAAACUAAAGUGCAAUCAUCAAAGUAGGAUCAAUAGUGACUUGAUCAGUUAUGCUUUUUGUUAUUUCAAUUGUUCUGUCCACAAAUGAUGCUUCGUUAUUACUAAUUCCACAUGGACAUUAUUUAGAAACUGAUCUUAUGUUUAACAGAAAAAUAAAAACUCGUCAUCAUAAGCAUUCUUGGUUGUCCUAAACCAGAAGUAGGUGUUUUGCCUGAAAGUACCACUUUGCUAGCAAAUCUAGUGGGUAUACUGAAUAAAUUUUUACAUUAUUCUAUUUGAUCUCUCUGUCUUUAUCCUAAGCAUUCUUGGUUGGGAUCGCUGCAUUGUCCUGUAAUCUGUGUGACUUAGUGAAAAGAGGAAUGGGUAACUGUGGUUAUGGGUACGUGAGAGGUAACGAUGAGGGUAGAUUGUUAAUUUUGAGGAGCGAUUUGCUUGCAUAAUUCAAUGCAUGGACAGAAAUGUCCCUGACCAAAAAAAGGGACCAUCCAUAUCUGAAUCUGAGCAUCAGAGCUUGACUUAUUUGAUAAAUAGAUAUACUUGAACUGUUUUUGCAUAAUAACUAAAAUAUUUAUUUUUAUAUAUUCGAUAAACGAGCUCACUAUUGAUAGAACUUAUUAGAUACUACAACUCAAAUAACUUCUUGUGCUUGAUUGAGGUUUUUAUAUAUUCGUAUGUUUGAGUUUUUUUUUUUUUUUUACUUUCUAAGAAUUAACUUCUACCUUGAUUCUAAAAAAAAAUAUAUAAUUUUACAAAUAAUUUAGUUCGGCAUUUGGUAAAUGAUAACUAUUUGAGAAUAAGUUUUAAAAUGGUUUACUGUACAAAUCUGGUAAAUGAAAAUUAAAAGUGUAAAAUGUUCACAUAAUGAAAAUUAAAAGUGUAAAAUGUUCACUUGCAAUGACAACAAAUACUUAUUUACUUAUUUGUAAUUUAUUUUGAAUAUUAUUGUUUAAAUCAUUUUUUUUACUUACCAGAUUUUUUAAGAGCAUUCUAUUUUCUUUAUUACAUAGUUAAAUAAUUUUUUAUUAGCUAUUUUAUUUUGCAAUAAAAUUAACUUCAAUAUUUUUUUAACUAAAAAUUUUGUUAUGUAGUUCGUGAUAUAACAAAUACUAACAUAUCAUUAAAUUGAUUAAUAAAUUAAGUGCAAAAAAGAAAAUGCAGAAAUUUAAUCUUUAUAUAAACUUUUAUGUACAUAAAAUCAUUGUAAUCAAACUAGUUCAUAGAAAUAUAAUAUUAUAUACAUGUGUGUAAAAAAAACAUAUGACCAUAAUAUUAUCCACUCAUUAAACUUGCUGCACUAUUAUUUCUCAAUCUCUCCAUCUCUCGACCUUCAAGAACAUUACUACCAUAAUCUUCUUCUUGAAUUCAACCUCCAUUUCCUCAUCAUCAACAAUGCGACCAAUUUGCCUUGAUAGCCUUUCAACUCCUCCCACUUUCCUCCCUUUUUGCAGACACUCUUUUUCUUUUUCUUUUUCUUCUUUAAUAGCUUCAAUGGGAACAACCUCAUCUAACGACAAGUCCAUUCUUCAACUAGAAUAGAGUUGGUAGUAGAUAUUUUAGUACUCUCAAACUAUGCCCAAACAGGGUCACCAAUGAUUGUCGUAUUAAAAGACAUUCUAUUUAAUUUUCCUCUAACUCUGGGUCGAUACCUUUUAUGCAAAAUCUAUUUACUUCAGGAAUUUUCUACACAUGUCGAUAGCAUAUUAAAGUGAAUUCAGAUCCUAUAUUAUUGACAUUAAAAUUUAGCCGAAUAGUAAAAAAUUUCCCUUUUUGUUUGUCACACAGCCAUAUAGUCCCAUUUUUGGUUAUAAGCUCACAAUAUGCAAGGGAAAUGAAGAUCUAUUAAAACUUCCCCAUAAUGUUCAUUUUGUUGCUCGGAGGAAUAUAACUACCUAUUAAUUAAUUAGCAAGAAUUGCGUUGCGAGUCCAUGUUUUUGUCGUUUGGAUGGAGGAUGUGCUAUCUUUUUGUUGUAGAUGCUUUGUAAGGCUUUUGAUUUAAUGAUUUAAUGCAGUCAAUUAACAAAAGCUUACAUAUAGUAUUAUGUAGUUGCUGAGAUGUCUGUUCUUGAUAAAGUCGAUUUAUUUACACCCAAGCCAACGGAAUCAAAGCCUUUUCGUUAAUAAUAUACACGGUAAUUGUUUUUGUUAAAUUGAUUUCUAGCUAACAAGAUCUUUGAAAGCAUUUAGGUAGCGUUUACAUUUUAUGUUGGAGUGAGAAUCAUGAGGAGUGAGAAUCCUGGGAUUAGAAGUGUGGAGUGGGAGUCGAAGUAUGUUGUUUACUUACACUGGAAUGGAAGUAUGGAAUUGAAAUCAGAAUCCAAUUUAUUUGUUUACAUUGUCUUGGAUUGGGAGUAAAUGAUUUUAAAUUACAACUUUACUCUUAAAAAAUUAUAGUUAUUACUUACAAAAUUAAUAAAAAUUAUAUUUAAAAAAUAAAAUAUUUAUUUUAUUAUAUUUUUAAAAUAAUAAUAAUAAUUAAUAUUCUUAACUAUGUAAAUCAAAAUUAUUUUAUUAAUUUAAAUUUAAAUUAUAUAAAUAAAAAAUUAUUAAUAACAACAACACAAAUGAAACAUUAUUAUUGUACAAAAUUGAUUUUUAGAAUAAAAUAUUUAUUAUUAUUAAUCACUAAUAUUAAAUAAAUAUAAUAGUAUUAUUUUUAAAUAAGUAUAAUAAUAUUAUAUUUUCAAAUAAAAAUAGAAUAUAGUAAUAUUAUUAAUUCUUUAUGAAUAUAAUAAUAUAAUUUUUAAGUAAUUUUAAAUUAGAAUCAAUAUAAAUUAUUAUUUUUAACCAAAAAAUUAAUAUUAUUUUCAAUAUGUUUAAUAUUAUUAUUUUUAAUAAAUGUAAUUUAUAAAAUAAUAUAAUAAUUUAAUUUAAAUAAAUAUGAUAUUAUUUAUUUUAUUUUAUUAAAUAUAAAGGUAAAAAAUGAAGAGAGGCGAGUGAAUUCCCACUCCCACCUUGCCCCAUGAGAGUGGGAAUCCCAUUCAGUCACUCCAAAGUUAGGUGGGAUCCACAGAGUGGAAUUCUCACUCUCCCUUUGAAAAUUGUAAGUAAACACUAGAGUAAAAGAAAUCCACACUCCUCACUCUCACUCCAAAAAGUACACACUACAUUGAAGAAGCCAUUGACUCAUAAGAAAGCCAUGAUUAAAUACAAGGCGAAGCAUGUGAGCUCGUUUUUCAAUCUCUUUGAUCACUCAUAAGUUUUUCUAUACCACUCACUAUAUCAUCCUUUUAAGUCAAUUUUGACUGAUCAUCAGAGAUCAUGCACCCCACCUUGAGAUGAUUGAUCACCAAUUUGGCAUUGUAACAUUGAUCACCUCUAAUUGGCCAAGCUAAAAUUGGGACCCCAAAACCAAUUGCUUCUACAGUUGAAUUUUAUCCACAGUGAGAUAAAAAUCCACCUGUUAAUUGAUAACUCAGUAUCAAUAAUUGUGGUGCCAUUCCAUCUAUUAUCAAACCCUUUUUACUGGCUCUACUAUCUAAACCACUACGAAAAUAAGCUGGUUAAAUGACGUAGAGGAUCCAAUCUAUUUACAUAAGUUUGAAUUACCUAAAUAAUCGGUGGAUUUGAUGCUUAUAAAUCAGAGGGAAUUGCAGCAGAUACACCUUCAUACUUUAAAAAUUACCUCAAUACCUUAAAAUUUGAUUUUUCCAAAAUUUUCAUCAAUAUCCUUUAAAAGCUGAUAGGAAAUGACUAAGUUAUCCUCGUUUUAAAACACUUCAACUCAACUGGCAGCACCUCUCCCUCCCUCUACUCAAACAAACAAACACUCAUAUAUGCUACAAUUCCCUCCACUACCUUUACUCAAACAAACAAACAUUCAUUCUCCAUACAUGCUAAAUCGAACUUCAACACGAGCAAAUUGAGCUGAGAAAGGGAAGCUGCUACAACUGAGAAAGAGAAGCCUAGUUCGUCGCUACAUAAUCGCCAGCGAGAGUUGAUCCUUUAUUGCAAAAUGGUCAGAAUGUAACUAGUUGAGGUAAGUAAUUCCCUAUAAUUUGUUUUCUUGUUGAUAUUCAAGGGAAAAAACAAAAAGUUAGGGUUUUAUAUUGAAAAAAUAAUUAAUUAGUUGCGGGUCUCUCAUAACAUGUUCGAAAACACAUUUCUAGUUGUUUUGUUGCAUGCAAAUUGUGAAAAAUUAAUGGAUUGUGCCGAUUAUAAUUUUUUCAUGUAACACACGAUUUGGUCAUGUAAGGUUAUGUAAGAUUCAAGGUUGUGUAUUACACGACCUUCAUGUAUUGCACGAUUACAUGACCUUCAUAUAUUGCACGAUUACACGAGCUUUAUGUAUUACACAAUUACAUGACCUUCAAUUCCAGAUUGAGGAGUAAAAAGUUUAUCAUCUCUCCAGGUGUGUUCUGUAAUUUAAUUUUUUGUUUCUUGUCGAUAGAAUAUACACAUUACAUUUAGUUUAAUUAGGCUCACAAUUGGGGACAAUAAAUUGGAAUGGUACAUAUGCCUUUACCUUGUGGAAUGUCAUUACUUAGAGAGAUCCUUAAUUUGCAAUUAUAAGCCAUGGUAAGUCAUGGUAUGUCUAGUUAUGAGUGGAAACACUUUGAUCAUUGCGAAUGGUGUUCUUAUGUGUAUAACAUUACAUUAAUUUCCUAUAGUUAAUUUUUUUUCCUAAUUGAUUUCAUGGAUUAAUUAUAUGCAGGCAUUCCUCAUGUAUGCAUGUAUGUUUGGGCAGAGGAAGAAAGCACUUUGAAGAUUAAAAAAGCUUUUUAAAUGGUUGUACUAUGUUUAAUAGCGAUGUUCAUUAGUGUAUCAUAUCCAAAUAUUGAAAAAUUUGUACACUGAUAACUUUGUUUAUUUAUACUAAUUAAUCUAAUCAUUUCUCAAACUGUCGGAUGUUCAAAUUUAGUUUUUUUUUUCUGCAAUUUAUGAACACACGAUUUGGUCGUUUAAGGUCAUGUAACAUAGGAUUCAAGGUCGUGUAAUAUACUCAUGUAUACAUGACCCUCAGUCGUCUAUGACAUGACUUUGUAUAUUAUUACGCGAUCUUGAAUCAUGUGUUACGAGUCUUUCAUGACCUUCAGUUAUAUAUUACACGACUUUCAUGUACUACACGACUUUAUGUAUUACAUGACUUUAUAUAUUGCGCGAUUAUACAGCCUCCAUGUAUUACACGACCUUAAAAUUACACGAAAUUUUCCAUUAAUCAUUAGAUUAAUUUAGUUCAUUAAAGACUUAAUUUGUGCUAAGAAUUUAUAUUUGCUGCUAUGCAGAAAAUGUCAACGAAAAUUAUUAAAAAAAAGAAGUGAAAUUAAAUUGGAAUCUAAAAAAAUUCCACAUCAUCAUUGGUUUGAAUUGUAAGUGGUGGCAUAGGAUCAGAUGUCUUAAGCUUGAACUUCAUUGUGAUUUCGAAUUCCGAAGUAUCUAUAUCAAUAAAUUGAGCUAAUCUUCACCAAUCCGGCAUAUGUUGUCGAUCGUGGUAUCAUUAUCCCUUUAGCCUUGGAACCUUUGAACUUAUACUCAUCAUUUUGGUCAAUCCAUUCACCAUUGAAGAGAAUAGGUACACGUACCAAAACCAUAUCUGAUGAUACAAUAAAAACAAUAAUAUCAAAUUUCAUAUACAAGUAACUACACGACCUACAUGACUACAUUACUUACAUGACUUACACGACCUACAUGACUAUAUUACUUACAUGACCCACAUGACUUACACGACUAUAUUACUUACACGACCUACAUGACUAACUACAUGACGUGCACGGUAUCAAAAGGAAUGCACGACGCAAAACAUUUUCACCAUAAAUAAAUUAUAUUGCUGAAAAAAAUAAUUAAACAACCUACAUUGCAUAUAAUUCUACAUAUAAGAAAAAAUGGUGAAAAUACAACAUUAUAGAGUGAGGAAAUUUUCUAAAUUUUCCUAAAAAUUAAAAAAAAAUUAAAACCCAACAACAUUAACAUAUCUUAUUGGGUUGUUUAAUGAGCAAUGCACCUAAUUUCAGUUAAAGAAAGAGUGGGUGUUAAAGAAAUGAAUAUAUAAUUGUAUUUGUGUAAGAAGUUAUGAGAGAUUUUGAGAGAUUCUAGGAGAUUUUGAGAAAAUUUCGGCAGCAAGAAAAGAUUUGGGUGAAAGAAAUAUGAAGACAAUGAAGUUGAGUGAAUUUGAUGCAUUCAUUAAGGACAUUUCAAACUUUACUUACAUUUAUUAGGGUAUCCAUGAAAACAAAAAAGGGAGGGGAUAUUUAAAUAAUUUUGAAACUAUUAAAGGGUAUUUAAUUAAAAAACCCUCUAAAUCAUUGGCUAAUGUUGAAUAAUUAUUUAAGGUAGGACCCAACAUGUAUAACACAGAUCCAUAUGAUUUCAAAUCUAAUCAUUUAAUGAUCUCAUCUUCGGUCAUGUUAGAACUCCGCCGGUUGGUUCUCAUCUCACAAUCACGAAGCACUGAACCGGCCGAUUUGUAAAAUUGUUUAGGUAACAAUGGGCCCACUCCCCACACUGGCAUCAACACCAUCGAUCCCUCCACUUGCUUCAUCCAGUGUGGUUGAUCACUCGGUUCUGAUGGACCUAUUUUCUCUGAACCGGGUGCACCUCACAAAGGUUGUGGACCACCAGGAAGGGACCCGUGAGGCCUGCGUUUAAGAUCCGAUUCGAAUAAAGCAAUAUCCUUGGGUAACCCAAGAAGUAAACGGGCCUCUCCCGGUUUGACAUCCUGGAUGCGAGCCUGCCACAUGGCACACUCUACAGCUGCUGAGCAAGCAUCAGAAGUGAAGAACCCAACAAUGGGAACUUCAAAAUUCUUGAAAACAUCAGCCGUCCAGCCCAUCAUAACGCCGAUGACUACGCAAACAGGUCGGCUUUCGGGUUCCCGGGUUGAAAGGAGGUUUCGAAGGCCUUGAAGCAUAUGGCUGUGCAUGACAACAUGGUGGUGAGAAGGAGGUGAUGGUAGUGGUUGAGAUGGGAGGGUAUUUCGGUAAUUUCACAUAGAGGGUAUUGGUGAAGAGAGGAAGGGGUGAUGCUGGUGGUGGAAACGUGAGAGGGAAUAAUGAGGGUAGAUUUGUAAUUACGAGAAGCAAUUUGCUUGCAUAAUUCAAUGCAUGGAAACAGAUGUCCCUGACCGAAGAACGGGACAAUCCAAAUCUCAGCCUCAGCAGCAUUCGCAACAGAGCUUGACAUCUUUUAUGAAUUAUUUGAGACUUAAUUGUUAUUGACUGCUUUUGCCAUCUUUCAUAAAACAUUCUUUGUUAUAUAUUCAAGUAAAUAAAUUUAUCGUUUAAAAUUAAUUUUUCAUGUGGUAAAAGCAAUACUAAAUAUGGGGUGGAGAGAAUAAUUUGUAGGGCAUACCCCCACCAUUUAUUUAAUUUCAUUAAAAAAGAAAGAAAAGAAAUAAAGGCUUGUUCAACAUUCAAUUAAAAUUAACAAUUCCAUGAUAAAAUUACUUGAGAAUAAAAAUUUUUAAAAAAAAAGUAACUCAAAAACGAGGAAUUUUUGAGUAACUGAAGAACCAUAGAUGUUUUUUGGUCAUGAGCAAUUUUUGAGUUGAGACAGAACUUGUAUAAAAAAAUAGUUUUGAAAACUUCUUUUCUUUUUUCGUAAAUAUAGAUAUAAAAUUUUAAAAUCACCAAACACAAAACCAGGAAAAUGGAAGGAGAGCCCCUGUUUCUCCUCUGUUGCAAGAACAAAUUCGGUUUCUACAGUUGUACCUUCUAAAUGCACCAUUUGUAUUGCUUUGUCUCCACUUGAGCUAACGGAAUUUGAUGAAAACAAAAUAGAUAUGAGUGGUGCUAUUCACAGCCCUCAAUAAUUCUCUCAAAACCCCUUUUCUAAUUAUACCCCGUUGAAUAAGUUCAAGACCAACUUUUCCUCUUAUAACACCACCUUCAAUUCCGUUAAUACCCUUGUUCGCUAUGAAAAUGAGGAAAAUGCCUACAUAAAAAGCUGGCUCUGAUAAUCUACCUGAAUUUACAUUAGAAAAGAGUGGACUUUGAGAAAUAAGAAGACAAUAUAGGGAAUUUUACCAAAAUAAUCCAUUUUUAUAUACAGGGAAUGGUAUUUUCUGAUAUAGGGAGGAGUGGAGAAAUUAAAUUCAGCAAAAUAAAGAACCUCCAUCGAGAAGUAAAAAUGAUGAUAUCUUUGUCGUGAAGAGAUUUCUGCCUCAUACAAAUUUUUUAUUCUAGAAUGCUUGAAACCGAAAAGUUCUGUAGUUGUUUCAAUUCAAUUGCAUACAUUGACGAAACAUUAAAUACGGAAAAAAACAAAAAAGAAAUAAUAGGACAGGGGGAUUUCGAGAAGUUCUAAAGAGAGAAAUCUAUUUAUAAGCAUUGAAAAUUAGCUCAUUAAAUUUGACAGAAUAAUAUACAAUCUCACUGUUGGCCAGAAAAUAAUAGUAAGAACUUGUGAACAUAUAUAAUCAAUUGUUUAUUACUUAAGCUCUUUUUCUUCGUUAUUUUGAAUGGGUGCAAAGAAGAGAAGUUUUGUACCCAAAUUCCAACUCGAAUUGUGUAGGCUGCUUGCAAGAGCUUCAUUAGAUUUUUAUUUGUCUUUUAAUAGUGCUUCUCGACAAAUACAGCUAGCUAUCUGUCCUUUUUGUUACUGGACUAUAGAUCAAUUGACAGUUGAAGUUAUAUUAAUUUGUUGUGCUGGAAUUGAAGCUUGUAUCUUAGCCAUUUGGUGAAGUGUCAAAUAUAUUUUUAAUUUCCUUAAAAUUGUUCAAAAUAUGUUUACACUUUUAAAGUCACUAUUAUACAUGAGUGCCCUAAAAUUGGAGAAGGCGAUUUGCCUGACAUUACCUGUAUUCGCUUGUAUAGAGAGGACGAUUUAGAUAAGUCGGAACGGAACAACCUUCAUCACAUGCUUCCUCACGUGGUUACUUAAACUGAUAUGUAAAACGUGCUCCAUCCAUGUCGUUUCCACUAAAUCGUUUUCUGUUAAGAAUCAGCUGAGCAGCACGUGAGCUAAUGAAGCUUUUACGGCUUCAAAACGCAGCCGUUUCUGGGAACCAAACUUGAUUCAUCACCUCACAACUACAGAUGAAUUAUCGAAGUGGCUGAUUGGUGCUAUACGUGUUUUUCGUAUUGAACUCAACUCUGCUAUUUUCCCAAAAGCUGGAAAACAGAAACAUCAUCCCUGUGGUUUUAUUUCACCUCAACCUUUUUCUGAUCCCAUUUUCAUUGUAAUUUCUCAUUUACUUUGAGUGAAAGUCAUUGUUGCUUUCGAACGAGGUUUUGCAACUAAAAAGGAAAAGGGGGCGGCUAUAAUACAUGCGUGCAUCUGAUACAUGCACAAAAACUGACCAUUGGAUUAAAUGGAGUGGAUCUAAUGGCUGAGAUUUGUUUUAUUAUUAAGCAAUAAAAAAAUUUGAAACAACCAGAAACCUGUAAAACCGGUCAUUUGGUUUAAGUUAAAAAUAUAUAAAUGAAAAUAACAAAAAAACCCACCACUCCCCCGCCUCACACGCGCCUCACCGCUCCCCGCUCCCUCGCCUCACCUCUCUUCUUGUUCCACGGCCAUCAACGGCGGCACGAGUCGGCGACGAUCGACUGCGGCUGUAAAUUGACCACGAUCAUCUCUCUCUCUCGGCUUGCUCAAAUUUGGCCGAUCUGUGCGCUUGCUUAAGCUUGGCCGAUCUAUGCUUGCUCGAUUACUCUUCCUAUCUUCAGUCAGAGUCAACUGUUUGACAAGAGUCGAAGUCCAAGGUUCUUUUUUACAGGAUUUGAGCUAUUCCUUUUAUUCUUCUUGCAUGUUCACUGAUAUGAAGCUUUGAUGUGGUGUUCUGAUAGCGGGUGGAAUUUGAGAUUCUCCUUUCUUCUCUAUAUGAAGGUGCUUGUCAUGUGUCAAGAAAAAUAAAAUUAUUUACCAAAGAUUAUUUUAAGGAGAUUUAUUAUUAUUCGUGGAUCGGGAAGUUUAUUUUGUUUUUUGGUCUCUUAUUUAUUUAUUGUUUUCACGAGGAAAUUGCUGUGCUUUUGGAAAUUAAUAUGCUGUGUUGUCAAUGUUGUGUGAAAUCCUUUUAUUGGUGUCUAUGUAAAGUGUUUCAGAUUUCAGACCUGAGAGUUAAUCUUCGCGUACCAGUUGGCUUUUGGGUUUAGUAUUGCUACUUUUAACAUAAUUGACCUAUGGCCCAAAUCAUUUCUAUAGGGCGAAGCAUAUGAAUGAUACAUAUUAUCUUUUUUUGGCCUUAUGUAUUGUUAUUUGCAGUGUGAUUUGGUCUAGCUUAAGAGCUUAAGCUUGCAGGUUGGAUUUGUCUGACAGGGAACAAUUUAAUUUGCUCAUCGUGAUGUUUAUAUCCAUUUUGUACUACUAUCAAUUUCAAUCAUGCCUAAUUUUUAUAUGUAUUUCUCGUGGACUCUCAGGUUCAGUGCACAAGAGGAUGAAGACGAUGGACACCCAAAUUUGAUGUGGAGAACAACUAUUGCAAAUGGUCCUUGAUUUACUUCUCCAAUUGACUUGAAUUGGUUUGACGCAAUUUAUAGUGUAUUUUUGUCAUCUUUGUACGACUAGCAGGUCGUCCUGAUUUGGUACAUGACUGGACACAGGAAUUGGACUCAUAUUUUUCAAACCAGAAUGCCAACAAUCAAGCAUUUUCUUUUGAAAGCACUGGCGUCUUCUUCAAUGCCAAAAAGGUUAGAGAUUUUCUGUAUCUUGUUUUGUAUUUAAUCAGUUUAGCAUGUGGGUGGCAAUCAAGAAAAGUUAUUAUAACAUUUUUGUGUUCCCGAAAAACUGCUGAUGAUGUGUAGUGCAGGAAAUGAAUUGUUUUUGACUUCUUUUUAUUUGUAUUCUUUCUUUUUUCUUUUCUCCCCAACAGGAUUAUGCAUUUCUGAAGAGCUUCUUGAAGUUGAUUACCAUGUAUGCCACUUUCUUUACUCUAUGCUCAGGAUGUGAUUUUGCCAAGCAUUAAAAUGGUUUAGGUCAGAACCAUCAUCUAAAGUUUACUUAAUGCAGCCGAGAAGCUGUAGUAGAGCAAGGAAGGCUGUUGGUGUUAUGAAGGCCAGCUGUGAAGAAAUAUUUGAACUUGUAAUGAGCAUGGAUGGGACACGAUACGAGUAUGCUUCUUUUCUAUUUUUUAUUUUUAGUUACUUUAACAUAAUCAAGACUAUAUUGGCUGUCUCUGUAAGCUGAGUAUUAUAUUUCCUCUUGCAUGCUGUGAAAUUCACAUUGUCUCCAGUCCCGAUUCUGUAUGUGCCUUUUUGAAUAUAUUUAAUUAAUCUGCAUGGUGCUUUCUAAAGAUUAUUACAAACUUUUGUUGCUUAAGUAUAUGAAGAAUGUAGAAAUGAAAACAGCUUUUGAAGUUUGAUGGAUUGCUUCAUUAAUAAAGAAAGACUAGGACUCAUUUUUAUAACUUUUCUCCACUUAGCUAAUGGUAUUUGAUGAAGACAAAAUAGAUGUAGCUAUCUAUAUUUUUUGUUGCUGAACUAUAGAUCAAUUGACGGUUGAAGUUAGUUAUAUUAAUUUGUUGUACUAGAAUUAAAGCUUGUAUCUUAGCCAUUUCAUGAAGUGUCAAAUACGUUCUUUCCUUUUUUUUUUUUUUUUUCAAAACAUGUUACACUUUUGAAGUCACUAUUACAUAAAAGAGUGUUCUAAAACAGGAGAAGGCGUGCUGCCUGAAAUUACCUGUUUCCUAGCAAAUCUAGCUGGUUUGCGAAUUAGAUUUUAACAAGUCUCUUGGCAAGGUUUGCUAGUAAUGUGUUCAAAUUAUUCUAUUUAAUUUUACUGUCUGUACCCUAAUAAUUCUUGGUUUGCACCAUUGCAUUGUUCCAUAAUCUCUGUGCGUUGGCUUAUAAAGGCCAGCAAGGCUGAUCAUUUGUCGAAUAGUUAUUUCCAUGAAAUUCCUAUCAAUUUGACUCAGUAUUUAGAGGUCUUGAAGAGGGCAGUGUACUAGACAUGGAUUUCUACCUCUUUUGGUUGUACAAUUGUUGUAUUUCUUGGCCAUCAGAUCUUUUUAAUGUACCUUUCUCAAAGUUCAUGCCGCACGUACACCGUUUUUCAUGUUUUGUGCAUGUGGGAUUGUAGUCUUCUGUAUCGCAGCUUAGUUGAAGAGGUAGAUGGUCAUACGGCUAUUCUCUAUCAUAGGCUUCAGCUGGACUGGUUUCCAAUGUAAUAGUCUCUUGAUUCAAUCAUCUCAUUUAUGCUUUGGUCAGAAUAGAACAUUUAUUGUUUCCUUCUUUCCCCUUUCCUCUCUUCUGAUGUAAUAUGUGAGGAAAUUACCUAAAAUUUCUGUAUCCCAAUGUAAUUGUUGGAAUUCAGAAAUAAAAUAAAUACACCGUCUUGUUUUUCCCUCGGUUCAGUCCCAAGUUCUCUUUGGGCCUUCUGCAAGUUUUUAAACAUACUGUGACAGUAAAAAAUCUAGUGAUUGAGAUCAUUUUGAUGAAUUUAAUUUUAAUUCUUAGCUGAUACUUUUUCUGGAAUUUUUUUCUUAUGUUUCCUCAAUAUGACUUAAAUAUAGGGCUUAGUUUGGUUUAGAAGUUCAUCUAAAACCUUCUCCUUGAUUCCAAAAAAAUUCUCUAGAAAGGUCUCAGAUGGAUUUUAGGGGAGUUUUGUGGCAAAUUUGAAAAGUUCAGGGGAAGGGUCUAAUGAAUUUUAAAACCACAUGGGUUAUCUGUUUUAUUCAGAGGAUAGUGGAAUUCCCUGAAAUUUAUCAUUUUUAUUUAAAUAAUCUUCCUACUUUCCUCUGCAGAAUUUAUUUAUAUAUAUGAAUUCAUUUGGUUGCAGGUUUGUUUGGCCCCGCGGCCUUUGUUAAGUGCGUUAUUGGCGUUGAAAUGACGCUGCGAGUUAUGGUAAGGUUCUUGCUUCCCCACUUCUUGAAAUUAAAUCUAUCUUUUCUGGCACUAGAAGUUUCCAUAAGCUGUGUUUUGUUAUCGCGCAGUUGUGUUAUUUCAUUCUAGGGAGCAUAUGAACUGUGGUCCACAACCCGGAUAUGUACGAGCUCACAUGGAGAGUUAGUUUUCUGUCCUUUACUUUGGUUGAUGUAGAGAAUUAACAAGUGACUAAGUCAUGCCAAGUUGCACCACUUGCUUCCUGUAUUCUGAUUUCUCAGGUGGUGGAUUCAACAUUUCCCCACUAAAACCUCAAAAUGGUAGGCCCAGAACACAAGUACAGCAUCUUAUGCAGAUUGAUCUAAAAGGGUGGGGUGUUGGUUAUGUGUCAAUGUUUAGCAACACUGUCUUCUGCAGAUGUUAAAUAGCAUUGCUGGUAAGUUUCUUGCUUUCACAUUUUAUUUUGCGCUGUUAUGGGUUAAUAUGUUUCUGUUGGGUGGCCAUUUUAAGUCAUAUUUUUACGUGUUACUGUAUUUUCUUCAGUCCUUUUAUAGGGAACACACACAUACACGUAUGUAGAGUCACCUUUUAAUGAGGGAUCUACCAUUUUAAUGAAAUGAGGAAUGAGCUAAAAGAUAAAAAAUUCACGAACUCCAAUGCAAUAUGUGUGUGUGCGCGUGUACACCUUUUCUAACUCUUGUUCUUAGUUAGAUAUUUUUUGGGAUUUCAGGCAAAUGAAAAAAGAGAUUAAGAGAAUGAUUUCAAGAGAACAGGUGGAUAAUAACUUAAAUAUUCAUUUUUAUACAUUUUGUUAAUGUCCUCUUUAAUGGAUUUCUAUGGAAUUAACCUUGUAAUUGGUGUAAUUACGGCAUUGGUGGUUGACAUGGCUUUCCUUGUGCAGGUAUGUAUGAUUGUACUGCAAUUUGCAAAUUUGCAUACUUGAAUGUUCUCAGAAUGGUAUAAUGCUUCGUGUAUGCAGGCAAAUACUACAGAUGAAUUACCGGAGCGGCUGAUUGGAGCUGUACGUGUUUCUUAUAUAGAACUCAAGUCUGCUAUUGUUCCAAAGUUGGAACCAGAGACAUCAUGACUCUGGUUUCAUUUCACCUCAACUGUUUUUUUUUUUAAUUGAAAAAAAAAAAUCAUUUGUUUUAGGUAUACAUACAUGUAUUUUGAUCCCGUUUUCAUUGUAAUUUCUCAUUUACUUUGAAAGAAAGUCAUUGGUGUUUUCGAGUGGGAAUUUUGCAUUAAAAAAUAAAGAAUACUUAAUAGGAAAUUUCAUAAUUCUUUAGUUACUAUUUUUGGAAUGUGUGUAAUAGUAUUAAAGUUGGUUUCUACUCGCAAACAAGUGAACUACUCGAUCCCCAACUGCGACCACGCUAGUUGUCAUUUAAAACUCAACAACUAACAAAAAUACUAAUAAAAAAAUGAUUUUCUUAUAUUGCUGUGAAAACAUUUAUGGGUUCAUUUAUUUCCACAAGAUCUAUAAUUUGGUCUUGACUUUACGAAAUUCUUUUAAUUUAAAGGGUUUUGGUCUGAGAAAGUCAGUUUGACGGAUUAAUUCUUUUUAAUAAUGGUCGAGUUAAUUUUACUAUACUCAUAAAACUAUUUUUAUUCUGAUAAUGCCACAAAUGUUAUGAUGUUUUCUUCAGCUAAUGAUCUUCUAUCAGGACUAGUUAGAAAUCAAAUGCUUAAAACACCGAUUGAAUGUAUAAUGCAGAAGUUUAAACAGUACCUAAUUGAAAAUUGCAUGAAACAUGAAACAUCAAUUCAAGUCCUUCCUUAAACAGAGAAUGCAUCAAACAAAUCCAAAGUGUCUUGCAAGUCUGUAGCAUGACAAAAAAGUUGUAAAUGCGUUUGGAACCAAAUUCUUCAAGUACAGGAGAACGAGCAAGUUGAAUUAUGUACAAGAGAUUGGCCUGGUUCGAGAUAGCUUCUUCACUGUACCUGAAGGAUUGGCUCAAUCUUUUCUUUAGAAUUCUGCACAUUUUGUAAUUACUCGUGUAAGCAAGCAUACAUUACAACCAUAAUAAUAAUAAAGCAAGAGUAAUGAUACGACCACCACCUUUUGUACACAAACAAUAUUGUAUAAACUAAUGCGACAUAAUAUGAUUGGUUAAACAAAAACAUUACAUGGCCCUCAUAAUUUAUUUAUUUAUUUAUUUAUUAUUAUUAUUAUUAUUAUUAUUAUAUAUUUUCAGUCAACCAAUCAUAUUAUAUCACAUUAGUUUCUAUAAAAUAAUUUGCUAAAUAGCACCAAAACUUAAUUGAUACUCACCAUUUCAUUGAACAAUUUUUUUAUGGUGUCAUUGAGGUUGCCUUCCCAACAUCCUUCAUCAUCAUCAUCUUCUUCAUCAUCAUCUUUUUCUUCUUCGGUGACGUUCACUUUGUUUAGCAUUGGUGUGUCUAAGACUCCUUGAGAGAAGAUCUUCAUUUUUGGACACAGUCUCACAACUACUUGUUUCAAGGACGGGAAUUCAAGAGCGUAAUUACCUAAACAAAAGCUUGUUAGGCUUGGCAAACAGUCAAGUUCCAAGUACCUCAAUUUCCCAAAAACAAUGCAAUCUUCCGUUUCUUCUCCAACCUGCGACUGUAUAAUUUCUUCCAUCAUUUUGCAAUCAACUAUCUUCAUUCUUCCGAGAUUCACUAGAUUUUUAGAUGCUGAGAGCGUCAACACAUUUAUCAACCCGUGACACUUCGAUACUUGUAGUCCCCACAGAUUUUCCAAAUGCCACGAAGGUGGUACUAAUUUUUGCAACUUACUACAUUCCGAUAUUUCUAGCCUUUCCAAGUUUGCAAACACUUUGUUGGAUUCGUCAUUUUCCUUCCAGAGAUGCUGCACUUUGUGUAAUCCAGACAGUCUUAACUUCCUCAAUUGAGGGAAAGCAACCUGAAAAUCAACAAAGUUAAGUUGUAAAAGAAAAUACGUAUCCAAUCUCUGGAGUCUUCACCUGCAUAUUUUAUGGACAAGAUUAAUCACGGCAUUUUAUAUUUUAUUUCCAAAUUAGUAUGCUUUGCAGUAGGAUCCCAAAUAUAAGUAUCAAAUCGAUUACCCUUUGAAACACAUAAAUGAAAUCUAAUGCUAAAUCCAAUAUGAAUUAGCUAGGAAAACAGAGAUGUUACACACAUAAUUAAUAUAGUUCAUCACCUCGUGUUAUCAGGCAUCCAAUUAAUUUCAGUCAUUUUUAUAAUUCAUACUAUAAAGAUAGUUAAUAACUGAGGUUAUAUUGUUAAAUCAUAUAUAAAUUAAGAUGACAUGCAAAAAGAUGAGUCAUUAAAUUUGACUUGAUUCUAAUGAAAUUACAUCUGUGCGAACAAAAGUGAAGGGAAUAAUAAUAAUAAUAAUAAUAAUAAUUACCUUUUCAUCGAAGAGGGGUUGUACUUGAUGAGCCAGCAAGAAGUACUCUUCUAAUGUUAAUUUUUGAGGUUCCUUGUUAUCAGUUGUCACAUGCACUACAGAGUUGGAUAUAAAUGUUUCCAUAUCAGGGCAAUUCUCAAUAGUCAGACUCCACAACAUAGGCAUUUCAAUUAUAUUCCCAGUGAAGUUGCAGAAUCUUUUGAGUUUUGGAAGAUCAAUGAGCGUUAGGCUAAAAAGCCUAGGAAACAGGGGGCCUAUAUGUUCUUUGUCAGCAUUUAGCUCUUCCAAAUGAAGCAUCUCUUCUAGUGAAUCACAAUUCCUCACUUCCAGCCUUGCCAAAUUGUUCAAGCAUCGUAGCAGAUUGGCAGGAAUAGCACUCGACAUAUUGGUGCAGUAAUCCACCUCCAGCUCUGCUAAAUAGUUGAAGAAGCGGACAGGCAGUGCUUGGCCAUGCCAUAUUUCUUUCAAACGUGGAAAAUGUGAGAGUUGCAAAUACUGUAUGUCACGGAAUCCAAUCUGCACAAACCAAAACAAUUGCACUGGAUAUAUAUAAAUACAUUAAACUUACAUGUUUUGUGUUUUAACUUCUAAAACUAUAUAUACAAGGCAGGUGUAUAUGUUCAAAUGUGCAAGUGCAAGGGAGAUGCAUAAGUAAUUUCAACGAAUCGAUUUAACACAUACCAUUUCUUCGUAACACUUUUGUAUAGUGGAAUUAAGGUUGCCUUCCCAACGGCACAAUUCACCCUCUUCCUGUUAAGAAUAGAAUUAGUUAGUUAAUGAGUAUGCUGACAUGGCAGCUGAGUCAGCUAAAGGUUGUUAUAGAGGUUGUUAGUAGUAAACUGUGCGUGUGUGCAAUGUGUGUAGAAUCUUCUAUGCACAUAUAAAAAGGCUUGCAAUUUCCAGAUUCAUUAGAUCAAUAAUAACAGAAUUCUCAGCUUACAGAAGUUUUCUUUCCUCCUAUUUUCUUAGUAACCAAACAACAUCACAGUUUCAUAUAAAACUUAAUACUUCCUUUUUACUCACCUGCACUUCGUGCAGCUUUGGUGUGGAUACGAUUCCCUGAGAAAAAGUCUUCAUGUUCGGGCAACGUGUCAUAGAAACUCGUUCCAAUGAUGGGAAUUCAAGAGUGUAAUUCUCCAAACAAAAGCUGGUAAGCCUUGGUAAAUAAUCAAGUAUCAAAACUUUUAAAUUGCUGAAAGCAAUACGAUUCUCCUUCACUUCUUCUCCAACAUGUCCUAUGAUUUCUUCUAUUUUUUCACAGUAUGAUACAUUAAGAUUCACUAGACUAUUGGGAAUUCCAACCUGAAAAUAAAGAGUAGCAUUCAACUAAAUUCAAAGUAUGUCAAAAUCAUACAAUUGUUUUAUGAAAAAUAACAAACCAUGUCUACUAGAUAUUUUUUGUUAAAGAAAAAAGGAAAAAAAUUAAAACAAAAAUAAAUAAAUAGAAGUCCAGAAAAACAAAGAUAAUGAAAAUGCAUUUACACUAAAACGCUGUAUUUCCCUUUUUUUUUUCCCGAUAUUCAUGCUUUUAAAAAUGGAAAACAUUUCUGGAAAACACUUCCCAACGCCAUCAACAUGGGACUGUUACAGAGUGAAUAUUUGAGGAAAUUUUUUAAUAAACGGUCGAUUCAAAAUGACCAUCAUGAAUUUGUGCUUAAUCAAUGGCGUAAUCAAUUCAUAACUAAACUAGAGAUAUUAACUACAUUUGAACACUUUUCUUUAUUUUAUUUUUAAAAUCGAAAUCUAAAGACCCAAGGAAAAGAGAAAUAUAUAUGAAUUUGUGAACUUAAAAGCUGAGUAACUAAGUAUCUUUUAAUUUCUGAAAAUCUUAUUCAUUAGGAUUUAAGGAAAAAAAACAAUUAAAUUAAAUUAUAUUAUGCUGUUAAAUCGUGUUUAAAAUAAUUAUAUUGUUGACUUUAAUGCAGGUGAACCUAUAAAUUAGAUUGAAAAUGCAGAGUUCAGAAUGGUGAUUUGAAGUACAAUACUUUUUUUCCCUCUAGAAGUUUGAAGUACAAUACUUGCAAUAAAUAAUUUGUGAAUGAAAAUUAUUUGUAAACAAAAAAAUGAUUAAAAUAAUUGUUGAAUGUUAUUUGAAAUAAAAAUUCAAAAUGAAUAUAGCAAUCUUACCAAUGGAGGAAAAAUAUUCAGUAGAUUAUGACACACAGAUAUCUCUAAUUUUUUCAAUUUGCUAAAAGACUUCGAAGCAAGCUGGUGGUGCCAUAUUUUUCUCAACUUAUCCGCCCCACGAAUAUGUAAUACCUCCAGACUUGGGAGUCGUACCUGAAGUUAAAAAUUCAAUGCAAUUAGAGAUGGAUAUUAAUUAAAUUUGAAGACUCAACGAAAGAAGAAAUUAACUAUUAAGAAUAAAAUUAAUUUAAAAAAAAAACCUUUGCAUCAAAGAGAGGUUGAGGUUGCAUUUCAGAAUUAGCUUCUGGUGAGGCAAAGCUACUUAGUUUUGGAAGACCAUCGAGCUGCAGGAAGUGUAGUUUAGGAAAAACCUUAAAUUCAUCUCUUCCUCCUAACCCCGUGGUGUUGACUAUCCCUUCCAUUGACCAACAAUUAAUAAUCUCAAGAUGUCGGAGCUGCCCAAGACUAUUAGCCAUAGAAUAUGAAAACAUAUACUUCAGAGGACAACACCUUGUCACGGUCACUUUUGUUAAAUUUUGACAACAAUACAUUCCCUGAAAUUGAUCGGGCCAUAAUUUUUUGAUGUUUGUUAAACUGACAAGUUCCAGUUCCUCCAAGCGUGGAAAAGUAACCUGCAAAGAAAAACCAUACAUUUUUUUUCCUUCAACUACAACUUCUAAUAUAAUAUUCUUUCGAUGAUUGAAGAUCAAUCGUGAUAAUAUAUUAAUUAAUUAAUUAUUAAACAGAAAAUUAUCACCUGAUCAUCCUCUGCAUUGAUUUCUGUGAAUCCCUGAGUAGUUGUUGGUUUCUCCAUGUCGGGCCCUAUAAAUGAACAAAAACAAUAUAUGAUUAACCUCUGUUGUCCCCUCCCAAAACAAAAAAAAAAAAAGAAUGAGCCAAUGUCAAUAAUCCUACCAAUAAUUAAUUUAAACACUUACCAAUCAUCAUUUUCAAUUUAUUGCAAUUUACCACUUCUACUUUUUGAAGCCCCAAUAGGUUUUUGGCCAUAGAGAAUGAGAAGAGAUACUUCAAUUUUGGACAGGAAUAUACGUAUAUAAUCCUUAAGUUGCUGAAAGAUUGAUCUUCUCUGAGUUGGCUGUAGCAUAUCGUCUCCAAAUUAGUUAAAUUAAUAAGAUCCAAUGAUUCCAGCAAGGGAAAGACUUCGCAACGAACCCGUCUAACUGAACCGACAAUAUGUAAAAUCUCAGAACAACCUGUUACAUGAAGAUGCUGCAAUCGUGGAAAACCUUCCCCAUCGUCUAAUUCAUGAACAACAUUCUGAACACCCGUCAGUGAGUAUAGACGGAGAUCUUCAGUUCUCUUCAGCAACAUUUUCGUCCCAUCAUUCCCCAAAAGAAGGCUAACUUUUUCUGGCCCCUUGAGCACCAUCAAUGUUGAUGUUUUAGAUUCGACGAGUCGUCGGUUAGACAUUUGUCCUAUAAAUAUCUUAUAUCUUUCCAAUUCCAUAGAGACAAAAUCCGGCGGCAGAAUUUCGGAAUCCGAAACAUCUAUCUCCAAAGUAGUUAGAUUUGACAACCCCUUCAACUCGACAAGACUGGCAUUACUUCCUCCUUCAACCUUAUCCCACUGUGAAAAGCUGUUAUGCAUAAACAGUUCUUCUAAUCCAGAUAAUUUUGAUAUGACAUUUGGUGGUAUCAACUCAAGGCUCCAACAAUUGCUCAAAUCUAGCAACUGUAACCGCGUCAAUCGUCCAAUUUCAAGUGGUAACUGCUUGAUAUCGGAAUCUGCAAGGCUGAGAAUCUCUAAUUUCUUUAGCUGUCCAACUAUUGCUAUAUCUUUUAGUCGGCAAUAGUCUAAACGCAAUGUUUGAAGGUUAAUGAGGCAACCAAGUGAUGAAGGUAAUGAAGAGAAUUGAAUUCGAGUAAAAUUCAAAACUUUGAGUCCUUCCGUCCCUUUAAAAAAGUGGUCUGAAACUUGCAUAGAGCCAUCACCCUCCGCAUGCAAUAGCUCAAGACAGGGACAUUGCAACCUUUCAGGAAGCACUUGAAUACCUCCAUAAGGUAAAGAAAUAGCAAUUGGACCUUCCUGUACUGUAUCUUCCAUCUUUUUCUCCAAGUCGGCAACAUUUGGAAUAUUAAACAUGAGCUCCUCUUCUGCAAUUGAUACAGCAACUACACGAAUGACGUCAUGCAUUUUAACUUCAUCUUCAGCAUCACUGUCCAACAAUAAGCAUGAAGAUUUGAGUUUGUCGAUCAACGUAUGCAAUCUCCUCCUUGCUUCUUCCAGUGAGUAAACCUUUUUAAAAUAGUCCAUACCCAUACCAUAUCUCAAUAAGUCUGGAACAGGUAUAGCAUAACCUUUACUAAGUAGACCACAAAGACGGAACAGAGAUUUUGCCUCCGCACUUUCCAGCAAGUUGUAACUCAAUUUUAUGGAGGUGUACACAUUUCUUUCCAUUCCAUCAAUUUCUCUUGCAUCGGAACUUCUUAGCUGAUUCAAUGCAUCCUUCCAAAUGUCAAGAUCCUUAGUUUUCAGAGCUUUUGCAACUGUACUCAGUGCAACAGGCAAUCCUCCGCAUUUUUCAACGAUCUCAUCUGCAGUGGGUUGAAAAGCAGAUAUUUUAGUUGAAUCACCCACUAUCUUCUCAAAUAACUGCAAGGCUUCUUCUUUUGAUAAAGCAUCGAUCGGGAAAUUUUUCUGAGAAUUCAUAUCAGUGCACAAUAAAUCUCGACUUCUAGACGUCAGUAUUAUUGUGCAUCGUCUCUGAUCAUCCAUUCUUUCGUUCGGAAUCCCAACUUUAUCGAACUCCAGUUCCCCCCAAAUAUUAUCCAAUAUAAUGAGAUGCCGCUCCUUGUUCUUCAAUACUCGACAUAGUCGAUUUGCUCUGUCGAAUAUACUCUCAUUCAACUCAAACUUUAUGCCUAAAUCAGAAGCAAGUUUGUCUUGAAUUUUCUGAUGAUCUGGGUUCUCUGUUACCUCAGCCAUAGCGACCUUAUCGAACAACUUAUUUGUUUCCAUCACUUGCUUUGCAACUUGCUUGACUAGCGUGGUUUUACCCACGCCGCCCAUGCCGUAGACCCCAAUUAUGUUGAGUUUCUCAUCCUUCAACGCCUCCAUAACAUCCAGUAAUACUUUCUUUCUUGAAUCAAAGGCCUCGUUAUCUUUCCCGCCCCUAAGUGCUUCGAUAUCUGCAGAAGGAUCGAAGGCAAUUUCUUCACUCUUCAGUUUGUCGCCUUUUUCCAUGAGAUUAGCAGCAUCUUUUGCGGCCUUUGCUGCUCGUUUACUGAGUUUGUAACGAGACAACAAAUUUGCACACAAUCCUUUGAAGCAGGACUUCUUGGCUCCAUCUUCUUCAUCAAUGAUAGAUUUUGCAACCCCCUCCGUAGAUUCAACCUUACUUCGCCAAUCUUUGACACCCUGAUAAAUCUCUUUGCCUUGUCGAGUAUCAUGCUUAACACGUUGUUGCACCAUUUCGUUUAUACCUUCCAACCCCUUCACUUGAUCUUUUAGCUCAUCUAUGUAGCUCUGGUACUUGAACACAUAAGAUAUUUGCCGUAUAAUCGGUUUGAACAGUGACUUUGCACCUUCUAAUACAGUGCUGGAUAAAGCAGCCAGAGCCACUUCUGCCAUUGUCUGCUACUUAACAAAUCUAAUAAUAUAUCAAAGAAAGGAAUACAAAUAAAUUAAAAGGAACUAAAGGGAAAGACAGAGAAAGAAAAGACGGCAAACAACAUCGCAAUAUUGAUCUUGAACCAACUGAUACCUAAAUAGAGAAUUUCUUUUACUAUCUUAAGGAUCAGAGGUUUCGCUAUUAACCGAAAGGUAUCGCUUCUAUUUUGUCACUUUGAACGAAUAACUUUAUGUUUUUAACGGAUGUUUAAUACAAAUUGCAUACAUUGGGUGUAAAAUUAAAUAAAUUUAAAUAUUUAUAAUAAUUUUAAUAAUUGAAUAAAACUUUGAGUAAAUGACUGAUAAUUUCUCUAAGAUGAUUUAUUGUUUGGGGUCUAAGAUUUUAAAUAUUCAACUUAAAAGAUUAAUAUCUUAUAAAUUGAUUAAUUAAUUAAUCAUUAAGCAACUAAAUUGGUCCCUGGAUGUCAAUUUAUUUAAUAUUGACGCACCUAUUUUUUUUUUCUGGCAAAUAAUUAUUAAUGCACUUAGGNNNNNNNNNNNNNNNNNNNNNNNNNNNNNNNNNNNNNNNNNNNNNNNNNNNNNNNNNNNNNNNNNNNNNNNNNNNNNNNNNNNNNNNNNNNNNNNNNNNNNNNNNNNNNNNNNNNNNNNNNNNNNNNNNNNNNNNNNNNNNNNNNNNNNNNNNNNNNNNNNNNNNNNNNNNNNNNNNNNNNNNNNNNNNNNNNNNNNNNNNNNNNNNNNNNNNNNNNNNNNNNNNNNNNNNNNNNNNNNNNNNNNNNNNNNNNNNNNNNNNNNNNNNNNNNNNNNNNNNNNNNNNNNNNNNNNNNNNNNNNNNNNNNNNNNNNNNNNNNNNNNNNNNNNNNNNNNNNNNNNNNNNNNNNNNNNNNNNNNNNNNNNNNNNNNNNNNNNNNNNNNNNNNNNNNNNNNNNNNNNNNNNNNNNNNNNNNNNNNNNNNNNNNNNNNNNNNNNNNNNNNNNNNNNNNNNNNNNNNNNNNNNNNNNNNNNNNNNNNNNNNNNNNNNNNNNNNNNNNNNNNNNNNNNNNNNNNNNNNNNNNNNNNNNNNNNNNNNNNNNNNNNNNNNNNNNNNNNNNNNNNNNNNNNNNNNNNNNNNNNNNNNNNNNNNNNNNNNNNNNNNNNNNNNNNNNNNNNNNNNNNNNNNNNNNNNNNNNNNNNNNNNNNNNNNNNNNNNNNNNNNNNNNNNNNNNNNNNNNNNNNNNNNNNNNNNNNNNNNNNNNNNNNNNNNNNNNNNNNNNNNNNNNNNNNNNNNNNNNNNNNNNNNNNNNNNNNNNNNNNNNNNNNNNNNNNNNNNNNNNNNNNNNNNNNNNNNNNNNNNNNNNNNNNNNNNNNNNNNNNNNNNNNNNNNNNNNNNNNNNNNNNNNNNNNNNNNNNNNNNNNNNNNNNNNNNNNNNNNNNNNNNNNNNNNNNNNNNNNNNNNNNNNNNNNNNNNNNNNNNNNNNNNNNNNNNNNNNNNNNNNNNNNNNNNNNNNNNNNNNNNNNNNNNNNNNNNNNNNNNNNNNNNNNNNNNNNNNNNNNNNNNNNNNNNNNNNNNNNNNNNNNNNNNNNNNNNNNNNNNNNNNNNNNNNNNNNNNNNNNNNNNNNNNNNNNNNNNNNNNNNNNNNNNNNNNNNNNNNNNNNNNNNNNNNNNNNNNNNNNNNNNNNNNNNNNNNNNNNNNNNNNNNNNNNNNNNNNNNNNNNNNNNNNNNNNNNNNNNNNNNNNNNNNNNNNNNNNNNNNNNNNNNNNNNNNNNNNNNNNNNNNNNNNNNNNNNNNNNNNNNNNNNNNNNNNNNNNNNNNNNNNNNNNNNNNNNNNNNNNNNNNNNNNNNNNNGGGAUUAUGGGGGUAUGCUAAUGCGGCAACCUGACUGUGAGUCGGGAAAAGCUAAUGAGGCAACUUUGCUUGUGCUGCUUCUUUUUUUUUUUUCUUUUGCUUUCUUUUUUGCUUUUUUUUAAUAAUAUUAAAUAAUAUAAAUUUUAAUUUAAUUUAAUAGAAUAUUAUAUAAUAUUAAUUUUUAUUUUCUCUUAUUUUGACAUCAUAAUUAUUAAUAUAAAUUAAUUAUUUUUAUUCAUAUUUUAAUUUUUAUUACUAAAUAAUAAUUAUAUAAUAAUUAAUAUAUAAAAUUGAUUAAUAAAUACUUAAAUAAUAUAAAAAUAAGAAUAUAACUUGAUAUUACAUUAUUUAAUUAUAUUAUAGUAAUUAAUAUAUAUGAAAAUUUAAUAUAACUAAUAAAAAUAUUUAUAUAUGAAUAAAUUUAAAUAAUAUUAAUUUAAAAUUAAUAUUAAUAAAAAUAAUAAUAUAAAAUAUCAUUAUGUUAUGAUAUUAUUUAGGUAUUAAUAAAUAUUAUUUUCUAAAUAUAUAAUUUAAGUUAAUCACAAAAAAUUAAUACAGUACAGUGUAGCACCAAACAUUGUAUUAUGCUGUAUGCCUGUAUUGUAUUAGCACUGAUUGGGUGUAAAGCGUUUGUAAGUGGCUUUUUAAGUCUGCCGUCAAAUCCCCUGCAAAAGCUUUUUUCUUAAUAUCACGCGUGUUGGUACUACAUAAAACCGUAAACUCUAACAAUUUCUUUGUUCUUUCUUAAUAUCACGCGUGUUGGUACUACAUAAAACCGUAAACUCCAACAAUUUCUUAGUUCUCAACACCCCUUAAUUUACAAGAAUUAAUCACUUCAAGGGUGGAUUAGGUAUAUCUUUAGUUCAUAUAUAACUAGCAAUAUCUAAUAUCCCAUAUACAUGUUUUUCUCCCAGAAUGUAAACCAACUAUUCAUAUCUUAGACUCCAAGUAUUCGUAUCUUAAAGUCAAUCGAUAAUAUUAAUUUAAAUUUAAUAAUAAUAUAAAAUAUUAAUAUAAUAUAAUAUUUAAUUUAAAUUAAUUACAAACAAAUAAUAUAGUACAAUGUAGCACCAAACAUUGUAUAGCAUUAUUAUAAUACAAUGCUAAUGCAAUACAAUAUAAUAUAAUCCACCAACAUUAAAAUAAUAUAAUAUAGCAUAAUACAAUACAGUGUGUCAAAUGCACCCUUAGGGUGUGUUUGGUAUGUGGUAUUGCAUAGCAUUAAAUGUGGGCCCAACAUUAAUUUAAACCAAUAACAUGUUUGGGAGCAAUUGAGGCUUAUUGGGAUUGGGUAUUGAGGGGUGCGCUAAUGCGGGAACCACCGCAUUAGCUUGUCUUUUUUUUUUUACUUUUACUUAAUAAUAAUAUAAAUGAAUAAAUAUAUAAUUUUUAAUUUUUAAUAUAAUAUUAUUUUUAUUUUUAUAUCAUAAUUUAUUAAUAAAUUUAUAAUUUAAUAUGAUUAAUAAUAAAUAUUUAAAUAGUAUAUAAAAUAUAAUAUAAUAUUACACUGUGUAAUUAUUGUAAUAUAAUUAAUAUAUAUAAAUUAUUUAUUUUUAAAUAAUUUAAUAUAAAAAAUAAAAAAAUAUUUAAAUACAAAUGAAUUUCAAUAAUAUUGAUAUACGAUUAAUAAUAACAUAAAUAAUAAUAUAAAAUAUUAGCACAAUUCAUUUUGCUAUUAAAUAUGUUAUAACAAUUUUGUCAUUUUAUAAUUUUGUGGUGUAUAUGAACAUAUGUCUUAAGAUUAUUUUUGAACAAAUCUUGUAGGUUUUAACUAUUUAUUUUUCUUGUUAUAUUAUUUCAAGAUUAUUUGAUUAAAUUAUUUGCUUCGAUAUUUAACAAGUUAUAUAUUUAGAAAAUAUAGAAAAUAAAUGUUAUGCUUCCAAAAAUUAAAGGAUAUAACGUUCGAUCUUUAUGAAGAAUUAUGAUAUUUUUGAACAUUUAUACUAAAAAAUUAUUAAAUUUUUAGAAAAUUAAAAGAUAUAACAUUCGAUCUUUAUGAAGAAUUAUGAUAUUUUUUAACAUUUAUACUAAAAAAAUAAUUAAAUUUCUAAAAUUUAAGACCUCUAUAUUUAGUUUUUUUUAAGUACUAUUAAUAUUAUUUUAUAAAUAUAUAAUAUAAAUUAAUUACAAAAAAUUAAUACAGUACAGUAUAACACCAAACAUAAUAUAAUUAAAAAUUAAUACAGUACAGUGUAAUACCAAAUAUUGUACAAUAUUAUUAUAAUACAGUACUAAUGUAAUACAACAUAAUACAAUACACUGCAUAAAAAUAAUGUAAUUUAGUGUACCAAACACACCCUUACAGAACUUUUGCAUAUCUACACAGCGAUUUUAAAUAUUACUGAUAACUCCUGAGAAAUGUGUGAGAAAGGAGUUGAUAAGAGUAAUAACAGCGACUUGCAAAAGGAAAAGACAGAAUCAUUCACCCCUUUUUAUAUCAUGUAUUUGGUUACUGUUGCCCUGUUGACGCAUGUAUAAAAUAACCGUAUGUAUUUUUUUUGGCUGUUGCUUAACAAAAUGUGUGUUUGUGUGUGUAUAUAUAUAUAUUUGCUGUUUGAAAAAAUUGGAUUCAAAUAAAUUAAAAUGAACUAGAGAGGAAGAGAAAGAAUGAAAAGACAACAAACAAUUGAUAUUGAUCUCGAACCAACUUCUUUCUUUCUUUCUUUCUUUUUUGUGUUUUUUUUUUCGCCCGUACCCCCUCUCAGAUUAGAGUAUUGGCUAUUAAAUGAAAGGUUUUAAGGGUAUGAGUGAAAAACAACAUUCUUUUUUAGAAACUAUUUUAGAGGAGGGAUGCAAAUUAAAUGACAAGAUUAAGACAAACAGGAGAUAUUUUUUCGUGGGCAUUAAGAAAUAACUGCUGUCAAGAUCAAGGAGAUUAUGCUAUUAAUAGAAAUUAUCAAAGGAUUUAGAACAAGUUCACCUCUUUAAUUAUCCGGGAUCAGAUAGUUGAUGAGCUUCUCUUCUUGGCGUUGAAUAUUUAAGAAUAAUUUUAAUGAGCAAAAAGAUCACUGGUAACUGCUGAAAAAUAAGUGAGAAAAGAGUUGAUGAGAAUAAUAACAAUGAAUUGAAUAAAAAAAGGACUUAAUCAUGCACCCCCUUUGCAUAUCAUGUAUUUGGUUACUGUUGCCUUGUUGACGCAUGUAUAGAAUAAUUAGUGACUUCUUUCAUGAAGAAUUAAACUUGGAAUGACCAAAAGACGAAGCUGCGGUGUAUUGUUGGACCAAAUUAAGUUGAAGAAAGCACUAGUUCACAACCUUACGUUUGGAUAUAUUCUAAAGAAAUAAUUAAACAGCAAAUCAUCACAUGCACUUUAAUGAUUUGAUCUAUUGUUUUCAAAAGAAAUUGCAAUUAACAGUUUUUGUCAAAAGUUCGCACUGCGUGAAACUAGUGCUAAUAUAAUUUAAAAAAUUAAUUUCAGUAUUAGUUUUUAAAAUGUUAAUUAUUAUAUUUAUUUUAAUAAUAUAUUUAUAUUUAUUAUAAAAAAUUCUGUUAAACAUUUGUGUUAAAUAGAAUUUAUAAUUAAUAUAAUAUAUCUUAGGUAUUAAUAAUAUUAUAAUUAUUCUAUAUGCUAUUGAAAAUAAUUUAAAUUUUUAGACGUUUAUUUUCACAUUAAGUUUCUAUUUAUUAUAAAAUUUAGUUUAAUAUAGUAUAAGCUUGUAAAGUAUUAAAAUAUUUUUUCAUAUUUUUUGAACAUAUUAAAAUUAUUUUAAAAUAUAUUUAUAUAUUAACAUUGAAGUCAAUUUUUUAAGUUAAUAGAACCAGUAGGUGUUAUAGUAAAAAAGCGUUUCUUAGCAUCACUUAUUGAAAAUAUAAAGAUCUAUAUAAUCAUUUUUUCAAAUAUUGAGAUGUAGUUAUAAAAGAAAAAAUAAAUUAAAAAAUUUUAAAUUUUAAUAUGGCCAUCGUAGAGUUAGAAUCCCCGCUCCAACCCGAUUUGGAGAUGAGCUUGGUCUAUUUAUGUUUUGGAAAAAGAAAAACCAAAGGAAAAAAAAGGCACCCGACCAAAUCAAGUAACUCAUCAAAUAAAAAAUAAAAAAAGGAAAGAAAUUUAAUGACUUGCAUGCAAUUUUGGAUCUGAAAUUAAAAUUACAUAAAAAUUAAGGAUUACGUACCUUAAUAUUUACAGCUUAUUUGAUGGACUCAACAGGUUUAAGCAACAUCAAAAUGUUUGUGGCUCCUUAAAUGAGCCCCCGACAUGGUGCAAAUGACAACAUCGACUUGUUUGACAGCUCCAACAAGGCUACGAUGAUCAGAAGAUGAGCCCUCAAUCAACAAGCUAAGAUUGGCUUCUCUAUCCUCUUCGCCCCACAACCAGCGCCUUGCUCUUUGUCAUUUUUCCUCUUGUUAGUUUUCUUCUACAUAUAAUUAUUACACUGGGAAGUAUACACACACCUCUUUUCUUUUUAUAGUACCUUACUAUUAUAUCUUUACAAAACAAUAUCACCCUAAGACAGCUAUGUAUGAAAUAAAUGAAAUAAAUAUAUAAGGAACUGACGAAAUAAAAUUAGAUCUAACUCUAAUUUCACGUUGCGUGAAUUUUUGACAAUUCACCCGUAUCCCAACAAAAGCUUUGUCAUAUUGCGAAAAUACCUUUUCAAUGUUUCAAUUGCAAUGUCAUUGCCAUUAUUCAUAGUGGCAGACAAUGGACGUCACGGGACGGUAGAAGUCUAUGUUACGGCUUGUGCAAGUAACAGCAGCCAAUGGGGAACUUCCACGGGUGCUAGAGGAGAGAGAAAGAGGUCCCAAUGCAAGGUGAUGGAAAUGGGAAAGUUCGAAGCUGUUACUUUCAGCUUCUGCACCUUAGCCAUGUCCCACGGGACAAGGCUAGAAGUUAUCAUGACCAUAAACUUUUCUAAUUUAUUUUUUCCUUUCAAAAAGGGACAAGGAUACGUUUCGGAGAAUGAUUAUAUUUUUAAUAAAAGAAUUCUUUUUUAUUAUAAUACUUUUUUCUUUAUUAAUUUAAAAAUAUUGACUCUUAUAUUUUAAUAAAUAUAAAUAUAAUAUUAUAAUAAAAUAUAACAAUAUAUACAAAUAUUUAAAAAAAUUUAAGAUUUUAUUAAAAGAAAUUUUAUAAUAAAUACAAAUAUAUUAUUAAUAUAAUUAUAAUAAUUUGCAUUUUAAAAAGUAAUACUGAUAUUAAUUUUUUAAAUUAUAUUACUCUACCAAAAAAAUUAAACUAUUAAAUUAUAUUGAUAUUUAUUAAAAAAAUUGAAGUUAAUUCUUAUUAUAUUUUUAAUUGGAAUUUUUUCAUGUGACAUAAUUACAAUUGCUACAUUUUUUUCCCUAAAUAAAGAUGGGAGUUAUAAAUUAUUUGUAUAAGUGUCUGUGUGUAAACUAAUGUGACAUGAAAGUAAUAGCUGAAUAACAAUAAUGGAGCUUUAGGUAAUUUUUUAUGAGGUCUUCUUGCAAUUUCAACACUUAAACAGACUUGUCCUUGAUCCCAAUUUAUUUACCCCAUUUGGGCCCCUUAUGACAAACAUAUUCUUGUGGAAUGAAAAACAUCAGGAGAAGAAAAUGUUUUAUUAUAAUAGAAAAAGUUGUCCAUAAGUCUAUUCAUUUUUUUUUUAUUCAAUACAAAUGCGGGCCGCGUUCUGUGGGUCUNNNNNNNNNNNNNNNNNNNNNNNNNNNNNNNNNNNNNNNNNNNNNNNNNNNNNNNNNNNNNNNNNNNNNNNNNNNNNNNNNNNNNNNNNNNNNNNNNNNNNNNNNNNNNNNNNNNNNNNNNNNNNNNNNNNNNNNNNNNNNNNNNNNNNNNNNNNNNNNNNNNNNNNNNNNNNNNNNNNNNNNNNNNNNNNNNNNNNNNNNNNNNNNNNNNNNNNNNNNNNNNNNNNNUAAGUAGAGUGAGACUCUGGCAUCCUCUAAAUAUCUCUCAACACUCUUUCUUAUUAACCCCAUUAAAAUAUUUAAAAAUAUUAUAAAAUUCUUUUAACACCUUUUUUAUGGCAAAAAUACCCUUAGUUUAAAUUUAUUAAUAUAAACCCCAUUUUAAUUUUUGACCCCUGAUUGUGAUUUUUUUUUAAAGCACCUGAAUUUUGAAACAAUUAAUUAUCUAUUGAAAAAGAAAGAAAGAAAAGGAAAACAAAAGGAAAAGGGCACUUGCUCCAAGAAAGUUCUACUUUAAUGUGGCAAAUCAUUGAAACACCACAUGGCCAAAACUUUACUCUAUGCAUGACAACUCAUUGUAAUUGAUAAUGACCCUCGCAAACACUUGGCUACCAUGCGUGUAAUUCUAAGGCCAAGUGCUAAUUUGGUUUACUGAUGAAGAUGCUGAGCACAAGCUUCUGAAAAUGCAGAAUUACGAAUUUUUCGAAAGACUGCGAACCUUUAUGGAGAAAGACAACUAGGCCACUGGAAAACAUGUCGGUGGGAAAAUAAUUCUGAUGAUCGUUCAGCUCGUCCUUUGCUUCAUAAUUACUUUCUUCUUUCUUAAUUUCUCUCAUGGGUCUCGGUUUCUUCCUGAAGCUUGUUGAUGAUGAGUUGCAUAUGCCGAUAAUUCCUCACCAGAAAAUAAGAUGAAAAGGUAACUUUCUUAAUUUUUAAAAUGCUGAAUUUCAAUUUAAGGUACUAUUCAUUUUGUCUCUUUCAAGUUAUUUUUCAUUUUUCUGCUGAUAUUUUAAUAUUUACAGUCAAUUGUAGCAUUACUUAAAUUUAUAGUAUGUAGAUCAUAAUUCAUAAAUUAGUUUGCAGUUGGAGUAAACUCGAAAAUGUUAAAAAAAUAAUAAUAACAACAAAAAGAGUAGAGACAAGUUGUCAUCUUGAGUAACAAUAAAAUAAAGAAUUGCAGCUUUUACAAAGUCUUUCUUUAAAAAUAUGAAAUGAAUAAAAUGACUAUUAAAAUGGUUCAAAAUUUUCUGAUAGUGUCAUUGACUAGCUAGAUCAAUUGUUUCUUGUGUGGUAACUUCAAACACCAAAUCCUUGAAAGCAAGUAUAUUAGUUUUGUAUGGUGUUGCCCAGCCUUCUGCACAUGGUUCAUGAUAUUUGAUCCAACUAUUCGCAAUAGGAGGAAUAGGUGAAGCUGGAAGCAUGAACACCUGUAAAAAAAAAAAAAAAGCCAUAGAAAAAUUAGUCCAAUAAUUAAGAUAUUGCAGCAUAAUUUGAAUUUCUAAACUUUUACAUACCUCUAUGAAAUGAUUUCUAUUAACAAAUCCAAUAGCAAUGAUUUUAUGCGAGGAGCGUGAUAAUGGAAUAGAUCUAAGUGGAAGGAAUGUGACAAUCAGCACAUCUGAUAUAUGUAGUAAUACCACAUUAUAUUUAGAAGCAAUAAUAUGACCAAUUUCAGGCAUGGUCAUCCAAUACUCUCUUCCUGGGUUAUUCUCAAAGUAUAAAAGUGAAUGAAGCACCUCCUCUGCUCUACCAGCAUAUUCAAAGACUCUUUUAUAAUCAUUAAAGUGACUUUGCAACUCAACAACUAAGACUUUCCUGACUUGUGCCCAGUUAUCUUCACCAAUACCUAUUAGGUCAGCCACUGCCUGAAAACCACAAUUACCAUCUGCAACAACAUCUCUAACACCACAAAUAUAAGGCCUCAAACCAAAUGGAAAUGAAUCAAUAUAAGAAGCAUGCUUUGGUGCUUUUGUUUGAGAAACACUCAUUUUUCGUUGCCCUUUUGGUUUUUUUGUAGUUGUACUUGAAGACAUAAUGUCUGGAGAAUGAUUAUCCUGUGCGGAUACUACAUACUCAAAUCUUGAUGGAUCUCGGCGGGUAGAUUUAUCAAGCUUUUGGGAGGGUCGUCCUCGAGUCUUAGCUUUAACAGGUAGCUCAAUUAAAAAAGUUAAGAAUGGAUCAGCUAAUUCUUUCAGUUUUCUUUUUAUUUGCAUUUUUCCGAAACCAUCUGAAUCUUCAAAACGCUUGAUAAUCAUUUCCAUUUCAGGGGUACAACUCAACUCUGCUGAUUUUUCAUAGCUGGUGCAGACAAGGUCUAAUUUCCUCCAAUGCAAAUGUACAGAAUCUAAAGGUAUCGGUCGACCUUCACGCUUAUACUCUGCAAUUUCAUGUGCACACGGUAGCCCAUAAGUGUGUCGAACUACACAACCACAUGCUGAAAUAUCUAUACCAAUUAAAUCAGCUCUUUUUGACUCACUUAGUAUCAUAUCUAAUGCAUUUCUAGCAACUAACCCCCUUAAUUCUUUAAAAACUGAAGGUGUGAAACUAUGUUGCACAGUAGUCAAACUCUUCUCAAAUGAUGCCUUAAUUUUUGUAUGUUGCAACUCUACCAAAGAAUGAAGUUUUGUCCAUAAUGUUACAAAGUUUCCUUGGGAUGAACAUAGUUGCCUUUUUAAUUUUGAAUGUGCAGUCUCAGCCCUAAAAAUAAACCAACAAAAAAAUAAUAAAAAGAUAUAUAAAAAAAUGGUGUUGAGUUUAUUUAUAAAAUCAUUGAAAACUAAAUAUUGGUUACCUGUUGGUUGUCAUAUUUCCGAAAUGCAUAAUAAAGUCUGUCCAUGCUGCAAUAAAUUUUUCUUUAUACUUAUCAAGCCAUGUCUACUUCACAUAGACAAGUGCUUUCGGAUAUCUAGCAUAAUCACUCUAAAAAAUACUCAAGUGUUGUAUGUACUCUUGUUCAGUGGCUGAGAACACCAGUACAUUCCAGUUGCUGUUAAAGGCUUCCCAUCUUUCAUUAGUAUGAAAUAGCCUCUUAUAAUUAGCUAACACAUUUUUUGAAAUAUGCCAUCUACAAAGUAAAUUAGUUGCACUUGGAAAUAUCUUUUCAAUGGCAUUCAUCAGAGCUAAUUCCCUGUCUGUCACAAUCACAGCUGGUAACAUAUCAUCUUGCAUAAUGGUUUUCAAUCUUUCUAAUGCCCAAAUAUAGUUAUCUUCUCGUUCGGACUCAAGAUAUGCAAAACCAACAUUAAAUGUCUUUGCAGUCGAUGUGUCACCAACUAUUUCUAACAACGGAAACUUAUACUUAUUGACUUUAUAAGUGCAGUCCAUUAUCAGAACACUUGGAAAAGCUUUUAACAAAUCAAAAGUAAGAGGAUGUGCCUAAAAUAUGUCUUUCACACAAUUUGUAUCAUCAUCACUCCGAUGCCACUCAAUGUAAUUAUGAUCAUGCAAUUUACUCAUAAGCUGUUGCAUUUGUGACCGUCCGCCCAAUUCGCGAACCUUAUAUUUAUACCGAGCAUUAUAAACCGUCUUCAUUGUUGUAACAUUAAAUGUAUCCCUAGUCUUUAAAGUAUGUAAUAUCUCUUUUGGCCGAACAUUAUUUUUAGACAAAUCAACCAAUAUACUAACAUCUUCAUUAGUAAGUCUACCUGCAAAUGAGUGGCCCUCAAGAUAUUGUGCAAAAUGAUGGUUAUGCAAUCCACAGAUUACUUUUAACACCCAAUCUUGAUUAUUCACCAACAUUUGACCCUUUAAUAAAAAUGGACAGCCACACUUUUUUGUUCCAAUUGCAUUCGGUCUUUUCUUCUUUUCCAAGUCGCUAUUCUGCUUAGACAUGUUGGUACUUCUUUUCGGAUAUGCACCACUUCUUUCACAAGCAAAAAUUAUCCUUGGUCUCCUUCCAAUCACAUUCACGUCAGAUCUUUUAAUAAUAAUCACAAGUCCAUUUUUUUCCCAACAUCAUGCAUCCAUCGAAUCAACUUGUCUCUACUGGUGAAAACCUAUGAGAAAGACAAUAAUAUAUUAGUUAAUGAUACAAAGAAAAGAGAAUAUAUGUAUGAAAAUUUAUUUAGCAUUUUACCUCUUCAGUAGUGAAUGCAGCAGUGUAAUCCAUAACAUCUACUUUAUUAUCAAGAAUGACAACUAUGGUAGAACUUUCCUCCUUUACAAUCAUUGUAAGAUAUUACAUAAGUUAAUACAAGACACAAAACUAGAAUAAUAGCAAUUUAUUCAGCAAUAAUCAACCAAACAAUUGACAUUUGUUAAGGGAUAUUUGUUGAACAUUGUUCAACGCUCUCCCAGUCAUUAUAAUUCUAAAACAAUAAAUUAAUAGCAAACUUACUUUUUUAUUAUCAUCCCCAUCUAUUUGCAUGAUUAUUUUGCCCUAAAUUUGAAACUCUUAGAUUAGGGUUUAAGAAAGAAAAGAGAGUUUAUAUCGUAUGCCACACAAAGAAUUUAAAACUCUUAAACAAAAAUAUGCCAUAUAAGAAAUUUUUAAGGGGAAAAAAAUAUUUGAUUUUGAGUGGGGGUUUAAUUAGAAAUUGUCUUAUUAUGUAAUUUUAAUAAAGGUUAAAAUUGUAAAAUAACUAAAGGGGUGUUAAGAGGUAUUUAGAGGGGUGCCAAUAGUCCCACUCAAAUAAGUAAUGGUAACAAAAGACUAAUUUGUAAUAUUGAAGUGUACGGGCUUAACUAAAUCCAAAAAUUAGUAAGUUAGCUCAAGAGUUGAGAGUUGUCCAAAUCUUAAAUGUUGAACCCAAGUUCAAUACUCAAUUGAUGCGGGAUGUUAUUCCUAACACCUCCCGUCAUGUGUAGGAUUGGUAAAAAAACUCGGGUCAGUCCCGCCUAGACCUACGGGCUUUAUGCAUGGCCCGCAUGAUGAAGUUACGAAAUUAACCUAAAAAUUUGAAACUUACGAUGAAUGGCCUUGCUUAAAGAUUUUUGCAACUUUAAUUUAUAACGAGUAUGUAUAUAUACACACACAAAAGUUUAGAUUGCAUUUGGAUGACUUUUUUAAUCAAUUCAAACAAUCUGAAAUUUAUCAGAUUAAUCCGAAUUUGAUCUGUAUCUGAUUUUGCCCGCCCCUACUAUUUAUAAGCCCAAGUGACUCUCUUUUACUAAUUAAUAAGGGAAUUUUUUACCUUAUAUCCUUGCUGUGGCGUUAGACUACUGGUCAUUUUGAUUGUUUCCUACCUUCCAUUUACGCCAGUUGUAACAUUGUAUUAUUCACCACUUUAGCCAUUUAAAUGAAAUUUUAUUUUCAUAAAAAAUAAAAUGACACCCUUAAAAUUUAAAAAAUAGAUAUGUAGAUCUCAAAUUUUUAAUAAAGAAUGUCAAUACCCCUUUUAACUACAAGAUUCUUAGUAGAUGAUAACCAAAAACAUUAACUUCAAAUUUUUCACUAAAUGUAAAUCUGAUUGAAAUAGUUUAAUUUUUUUCUAGUAGACUAAUAUGUAUAACUUAUAUAAUUAAUUUCAUUAUUAAUUUUUAAAAUGUUAAUUAAUAUAUUUUUAAUUAUUAUAAAAAUUUUAAAUAAAUCUUGGAUUAGAUAGAUUUUACACUUAAUGUAAUACUUCUGAUUUAUUAAUAAUAUUAAAAUUAUUUUAUAUGAUAUUCAAAAUAAUUUAAACUUUUAUAUAUUUAUUUUAAUAUUAUGUCUAUUUAUUAUAGUUUGGUUUAAUAUAAUACGGGAUUGUAAAAUAUUAAAAUAUUUUUCAAUAUCAAAUUAUUUUAAUAUGUAUAUAUUAUUACAUUUAUUUUAAUAUCACAUUUAUAUUUAUUAUAAAAUAUAAAAUUAAUAAAAUUAAAGAGUAUUGCAGUAAAGUAAAAAAAAAAGUCUUAUUAUCCCAUAUUCACGGUAUGAGUUUCUACAAAAUUAUUUCCUCAAAUGGGUGACCUUUCCUCAUUUUCAAAAGAAAAAAUAAAGUAAGAAUAAGUCCAGGGUUUCAAAAACUUCUAGUCUUAUCCCAAGACCUCCAUUGUCUACCACUAUGACUAAUGGAAAUGACAUUGCAAUUGACAUUGCUUUUCGCAACAUGACAAAUUUUUGGUGGGAUAUGAGAGAAUUGUCAAAAGUUCAUGCCGCGUGAGAGUUUUUGGUGGGAUGUGGGAGAAUUGUCAAAAGAUCACACCACGUGAUAUAACCAUAAUUGCUACAAUUUUUUUUAAUAAUGAUGGGAGUUAUAAAUUAUUUAUAUAAAUUUGUGUAGAAACUAAUGUAACAUAAAAGAAGUAGCUGAAUAACAAUAUUUGGUGCUUUAGGUAAUUUUUAUAUGAGCCUUUCUUUUAUUUAGCGACUUUAGUGCUUAAACAAAUUUGUCCUCGAUCUUAAUUUACUUACCCCAUUUAAGCCUAUGAUGACAUAAACAUAUUCUUUUGUGACGAAAACAUCAAGAGAAGACAUCUCAUGUUUUAUUAUAACACAAAAGAAGUGGUCCAAACGUCUAUUCAUUCUUUUAUUUACUCAAUAUGAAUGGCCAACUUUAAAAAAUGAUAAAAAUCACACCACGCUCAACUGAAAAUUUAUAAUUACAUUUUUUAAUACUCUCUAUACUCUCUAGCCUCUCUCUCCUGCCCCCUUUUUUUUUUAAAAAAUAAACCUUAGUGUAAAAUUAGAAGAAUUUUAGAUAUAACAUUUGACAAUCGCUAAAUAGAAAAGUAGGGGAUUGAAAAUAGAGGAGCUCUGUUAUCAUUGGAAUAUUGAUUAUAGAUCAUAUAAUAACUUGUUGUGGUUCAUUGUAGCACUCUGAGUCAUAUUCUAAAAUUUAUAGGUUUCUUAAGGUUUUUAUUAUUGACAUUAUUGUGUCAAUACUAUUAUAAUUUAUUCAUUUUAUUGUAAUGAUAAUUUGUCUAGUCUUAGGUACUUAUUAUAUUAAAUUAUGUAAAUUAAUUGAGAAUACAUUUAGAGACAAAAGAAACACGUGUAUGUAGGAUUAAUAAUCGCAGAGUUGUAAAUGAAGGUGAUUGCUUCAUUGAGAGGCAUAUUAAAUAAUUAUGGAGAGUUGCACUAUUUCGGAAGCAUAUAUUUAUACUUCCCUAUCAGGAUUUGGGGUAAGCGAAGUGCUUUAUGUGUUGUAGUAAGCAAUGUGGGCAAUAUCGGAGGCGAAAUAUUAAAAGAUCAUAACGCAUAUAUUUGAGCCAUUUAUAUUGAAGACACGUAUUGAAGACACGUAUAGAGGAAAGAGUGCAUAUCCGGCGGUAACUAUUAUCAGGCUUUCCUAAAAUAUUCUCAUGCUUCCUCAACUGUUCUGAACUAUUCUUCAUAGUGGGCAGAUUUACUUAAAUACCCUUCUACCUAACAAAACUUGGUACUUCUAAUUGCACUCGCAGAGAAUCUAUAAAAUUAAAAAAAAAUUCAUCCAUGAAAAGCCUCGUAACAGAAAAACCAUCUUUCAAAAAAUAAUAAUAAAAUAAAAACAGAAAAACCGACUCAUUUAUCUGCCAAUGAACCAAUCGGGACUCAUUUAAAAAAGAUUACAAAGCAAAAGUAAAUGACACAAAUUGCAUAGAUAUCUAGGAGCCGCAUCAAAGGGCAAUGGUGUUAAUUUGUCCGAGUAAUAAUUAAUUUCAAUAUUAAUUUUUAAAAUGGAAAUUAAUUUAUUUAUAUUUAUAAAAUAUUUGUAAUUAUUUUAAAAUUUUAACUAAAUCCUUAGGUUAAAUAGAUUUUACAAUUAAUAUAAUAUUUCUCAUGUAUUAAUAAUAUUAAAAUUAUUUUAUAUGAUAUUGAAAAUAACCUAAAUUUUUAUAUAUUUAUUUGAAUAUUAUGUCUCUAUUUAUUAUAAUUGGGUUUAAUAGAAUACGAGAUUGUAAAAUAUUAAAAUUUUUAGAUAUUGAAAUUAUUUUAAUAUGUAUAUAUUAUUAUAUUUAUUUUAAUAUCCUAUUUAUAUUUAUCAUAAAUUAUUAGAGUUAAUUUUUUUAGUUAAUAAAUUUAAAAACUAUUCUAAUUUUAAAAAAAAGUCUUAUUGUCUAUUAUUCAUGAUAUGAGGUUCUACAAAAUUAUUUCUCCAGACGGAUGUCCUUUUCUUAUUUUCAAAAGGAAAAACAAGUUCAGGGUCUCAGGGGUUUCAAAAAUUCUGGUCCUAUCUACCACUAUGACUAAUGGGAAACAACAUUGUAAUUGACAUUGCUUUUCACAAUAUGACAAAUUAUUGGAGGGAUAUGGGAGAAUUGUCAAACAUUCACACCACGCGAGAGCUUUAGUGUGGGAUAGGGGAGGAUUGUCAAGAGUUCACACCACGAGAAACUAAUGAUAGGCCCAAUUUCAUUGUCAAUUCUUUAUUUAUUUCAUGCAUUAUUGUUUUUCUAAAGGUAUAAAAGCAAAGUAAAAUACUAGGGGCGCUUUUAAGUUACAAUUGAUGUAACUUACAAUUUUUUCAAAAAUAAUGUAAAAAAAUUAAUAGGUGGUGGGACCCACAUAUUUUUUAAGAGACUUAAGUUACGGCAGUUGUAACUUAACAAAAUUUAAAUAUUAGAUAAUAAUACAUAUUAAUAAUAUAUAAUUUGGGUUUGAUUUUUAAAAGAUUAUUUGAGUACCACCUAUCCUUAUGAUAUUAAUGUGACUAUAUCUUAAUAUUAAAUAAUCAAAAUUUGUUUAAUUGUUAUUUGUAUUUCAUACAUUACAUAUUAGAUUUGUUUGAAUUUUAAGUUGUUGCUAAUAAAUAUUUAUGUUGUCAAAGUCAAAUUCAAUAGCUACAAAAGCAGAGAUAAUGGUAUUGUAUAUAGUUUUUAAGAAUGCAAGGAUAAGCUGGAUAAUUGACAUAAAUUCUAAUGAUUAAAACAGCAACUAUCCCUUAAGUUAUAAUGUCAAUUUCUUUAAUUAGAUUUUUUUUUUUAUGUGAUAUAACCACAAUUGCUACAAAUUUUUUUUUUUAUAAUAAUAAUGGGAGUUAUAAAUUAUUUAUAUAAAAUUUGGGUUGAAACUAAUGUAACCUAAAAGUGGUUGCUGAAUAACAAUAUUUGAAACUUUAGGUAAUUUUCAUGAGUCCUUUUUAUAUUCAGCAACUUGAAUUGGGGGAAAUCCGACUUGAAUUGGCGGUUGAUUUUCGUGAUGUGGCUUUUGGUUUAUGGCGACCUUACAGUGGCAGAAGACUGGAUUUACGGUUGCCGACUGCUAGGGAUUAUGGUGGGGGUGUAAAUUGACGGAAAAAGAAGGUGUUUUGGUGGCGGCGCGUGUAGGAAGCACUCGUGGGUUGUCGUUUCGUGUGGUGGCGGGCGGCGAUCAAGGGCUGAAGUUGGUCGGUUUUUGGUCAACGGAGGCCGGCGAGUUUGUUGGUGGAGGUGGCUGGUGGAGAAAGUGACUGAAUGGUGGUGGGUUGCUUGGUGGAGCCGCGGGUUUGGGUUGGUGAUUUGUGGCUGUUCAAGCGGCGGUUGAGGCAGCGAUGACUGAGGCUUGGUCGACGGUGGCUAGUGAGGUUUGUGGUGGUGUUGGCUGACUGAUCGGCGGUGGUGGGCGGCCGUGGAGGUUGAUGUGACGGGUAGGGUUUUCAAAUUUGUAAAUUUUUUUUUUUGAUGGAUUUGGUUUGGAUGGGUAUCGUGUAUCUAGGAAAGAUGUGCGAUUCGCACAGAAUCCCUUUGACACCAAUUGAUGGAGCGAGGCGUAGCGGAAGCGGAAUUGAUAGGGUAAGAAACAUUAGAUAUUGUUCUAGUACUAGACCAAGCCAACGCAAUUAGCUUACGCUCUAAUCGAAGCGUGAUUAGAUAUCGUUCUAAUCCAAAUAACUCAAUACGAUUUUUAAUAAUGCGUAAUACGAGAUUAAAUGACACUCUAAUCCAAACGACUCUACAAGAGAGAUUUUGAUAAAUAAUCAUAGAGGGGUUUUAUUUAAUAAUUGAACCUGAAGUUAAUGAAAAUAAUGACAAGACAUCUUUAUUUUUUUUUAUUACAGACAUCUUUAUUUAUAAUAAAAGAAACCCGCUUUCCUAAGUUAACCUAAAAAGAAAAUUUAAAUCAUAAUUAUAAUGGAAAUAAAAGAUU
rnacentral:lncRNA from 1 species